AACUGUUACUGAGGAGGUGGGAGAAGGCCAGGGGAGGAAAAAACCAAGGGCAAGGAGAGGCAUAGGGGAGGGUGGAAAAGGAAUGAGGAGAUGAGCAUGGCUUAAAGGUGACCAAAAAGGGAACUGGUGGCCUGGAGAUCCUGGCCAGAUGAGGAAACUGAGAGCCAGAAGGGCUAAAUUCUCCAUCUGCCCUGGGUGACACAAUCAUGGAGUGGCAGAGCCAUCAUUUGAACACAAGUUCCAUGACUACUGAAAGCAGCACACUGUAGCCCAAGAUGACAUCACAGUUGCCAAGGGAGGAGAAGAAAGGAGAAGAGGAAAGAAGAGGUGGAAAAAAGACACUAUAGAAGGGAAGAAAGUAGAAGAGCCAAGGAAAAAUAAAAAAAAUGAAGAGGAAAGAGGAGUAAUAUAUUUUCAGAUGAUUCAAUUUAAGGUGGAAGGGCUCACAGGAUCCAACUGCUCCAACCCACUUCUUGGACAGAAAAGGCAGCUGAAGGCUGGAAAAGUUUACUGACUGCCAAAAGUUCCCACAGAUGAGGAAACUGAGAGCCCGAUGGGCUAAGGUCUCCAUCUGCCUUGGGUCACACAGUCAUAGAGUGGCUGAGCCAUCAUUUGAACACAGGAUCCAUGAAUGGUAAAUCUGUGAUCCAGAGCAAGCAGAAGCCUUGGCCAGAUUAGAAUCUUCAGGAGACAUGGAUUCUAGCCUCAACUCUGCUCCUAACUGUCAAUGGAUGACAGUCUCUGUGUUGGCUCAGUGACAUUCCCUGAAAAAGAGGGCAUUGGACUGGGUUCCAUGAAUGGUAAAGGCAGCACAGGGUGGCCCAGGAUGACAUCACUGUUGUCAAGAUGAGGAAACUGAGAGCCAGAAGGGCUAAGGUCUCCAUCUGCCCUGGGUCACACAAUCAUGGAGUGGCAGAGCCAUCAUUAGAACACAGGUUCCAUGAAUGGUAAAGGCAGCACAGGGUCACCCAGGAUGACAUCACUGUUGUCAAUGUUUCUGGAAUGUUCCCACUAAUUGUGAUGAAAGAGAGGAGAGUAAAGUAGGAGAGGAAAGAAUAAGGGGUUUGUGUGGAGGAGGAAACUAGGGAAAGGGAGGAAUUAGGAGGGGUCAAAGAGAAAUUAAAAUAUAUGAAGAGGAAAUGGGAGGAGUAGAUUCUCAGAUGAUCCAAUUUAAGGUGGAAGGGCUCUCAGGGUCCAACUGCUCCAACCCUCUCCUUGGACAGAAAAGGCAGCUCAAGGCCAGAAAAGUUCACUGAUUGGCAAAGGUUCCCACAGGUAAUACCGAGUAGAGCUGAGAUUUGGACUUAGGGCCUCUGUCUCCCAAGGUACUGUCUUUCAUUAGGCACUCUAACAUUCCCUCCAGCACAGAAAGGGAGAGAAAUAGGGGAUGGGCAGAAAAGUAAGAAGUUGGUAGAAGGAGGUGAGAAGAAGUGAGCUAUCGAGGAUACAAUGGAAGGAGGAGGAGGAAUAGGUUAGAGAUUGUAAAGAUAUUGAGGACUGAGCAUGGAGAAGUGAGGAAAGGAUUGGUUAGAGAAAUUUGAAGAAAGCAUGUGUUUAGGGAGAAAAAUAAUAACAGAAAAAAGGAAUUAAGGUGAAGCGACAAAAGGGGGACUGGGACAAGGCAGAGGAAUGAGGAAGGGAUGGACAGGAUGAGAAAAAAGUAUGGAGAACCAGGCCUAGAGACGGGAGGUCCUAGGUUCAAAUCCGGCCUCAGCCACUUCCUAGCUGUGUGACCCUGGGCAAGUCACUUGACCCCCAUUGCCUAGCCCUUACCACUCUUCUGCCUUGGAGCCAAUACACAGUAUUGACUCCAAGACAGAAGGUAAGGGUUUUAAAAAAAAAAAGAAAAAGAAAAAGAAAAAAGUAUGGAGACCAGGGAAAGGGUCAUAAGGAGGAGAAGGUAGGACAAGGGCACAGCAGGCAAUUGCUGGACAGCUCAAGUACCCCAAUCCUUAGAAGACACUGUCACAGGAAAAGACAUUAUUAGAGAUUCUUUUUCCUUUCUAAAUUUCAGGCUAGAUACAAUAAGGAAUUGUCCAUGGUUCCUGGAUGCCACAAAACAGAAGUGGGGACCUGGAGUAAUUGGCCAGGAAAGGACAGGGAAGGCUCAUCCAGCAGAGCCCAGGGUAAAGGAAUGACACUAGUGUGAGGUCACUAUUCAUAAGCUCCCAAAUGAAUACCCAGCUCCUCCUAAAGACCUCUGCCCAUGCCCUUCAACUCUUGUGACUUUGGGCAUACUUUUCAGCCUAAUCCUCUGUGAUCCAGAGCAAGCAACCCCCCUGGCCAGAUUAGAAUCUUCAGGAGGCAUGAAUUCUAGGCUCAGCUCUGCUCCUAACUGUCCUUGUGGUGGCACAGUUACAUGGCCUGAAUAGGAGGGCAUUGGACUAGUUGGGAUCCAAGGAACCUUUGACACCUGCUGCCAGACUGUGAUUCUCAGAGUGACUGAGGGUCCUCUUGGUCACAGAUAUAAUUCCCACAAUAUGAAGUCAACGUAAGGGAGUCACAGACACUUCCUUUGCUUUUCCAUGGUCACAUUCUUAAUCAUGAUCCUACCCACUGCCCCAUUCAUCCAGAAGGAAGUCAGGUAUGAUAUUGGUAUGUGUUAGGAAAAAAACCCAUUAAAGAUGCAAAUCCACAGGCAAGCCCCCUCUGAAGUCCUGUGGGUAAAAUCAUGUUGGACUCAUGAGAAAGCACAGGACCUUGCAUAUCUGGAGGGCAGCAAGUUAAGGUUCAAAGGACAUGGAUAAGAUUAGGGCUCAUGUCAUCUGCUUUCUCUAACAUGUUUUGCUAAAAAUCAAAAUUUUCAGUAAGUUGAACCUUCUCAGGUCCUUCAUUUGCAAAUCUAGGCCUAGCCAGAUUAAGAUGGUGCCACCACAGACAGUCCUGCAAUCAAGACAAGGUUAGGAUCUUAAAGUAUUCCUCUGCCGCCAGCAGCCUAUCAGAUGUUGUAGAGGGGAGUUAACUUCUUCUCUCAUGAUCCUCAGUCACAAAGCAUAUAUCCCAUAUGACCAUCAGCCUAUCCUGAGGGAUAAAAUCUCAGCUCAGGUCACUAAAGUCACCAGAAUGUGAGGGUUGGUCUAGCUGAACAUACAACAUUUUAUUCAAGGUCAAAUCCUAUCAACCUGAUGAUUCCUAUCAACCUGAAGAUUCCUCAUUUUCUUUUUCAGAUAAGGAAACUGAGAGCCAGAAGGGCUAAGGUCUCCAUCUACCCUGGGUCACACAAUCAUGGAGUGGCAGGGCCAUCAUUUGAACACAGGUUCCAUGAAUGGUAAAGGCAGCACAGGGUCACCCAGGAAGGCAUCACUGUUGUCAAGGUUUCUGGAAUGUUCCCACUAAUUGUGAUGAAAGGGAGGAGAGUAAAUGAGGAGAGGAAAGAAGGUGGUGGGGGGCGUGGAGGGGGUAGAAGGAAUCUAGGGAAAGGGAUUAAUUAGGAGGGUUUAAAGAGAAAUUUAAAAAUAUAAAGAGAAAAUGGGAGGAGUACAUUCUCAGAUGAUCCAAUUUAAGGUGGAAGGGCUCUCAGGGUCCAACUGCUCCAACCCUCUCCUUGGACAGAAAAGGCAGCUCAAGGCCAGAAAAGUUCACUGAUUGGCAAAGGUCCCCACAGGUAAUACUGAGUAGAGCUGAGAUUUGGACUUAGGGCCUCUGUCUCCCAAGGUACUGUCUUUCAUUAGGCACUCUAACAUUCCCUCCAGGACAGAAAGGGAGAGAAAUAGGGGAUGGGCAGAAAAGUAAGAAGUUGGUAGAAGGAGGUGACAAGAAGUGAGCUAUCGAGGAUACAAUGGAAGGAGGAGGAGGAAUAGGUUAGAGAUUGUAAAGACAUUGAGGAUUGAGAAUGGAGAAAUGAGGAAAGGAUUGGGAAGAGAAAUUUGAAGAAAGCAUGUGUUUAGGGAGAAAAAUAAGAAAAAUAGUAAGAGAAAAAAAAAAGGAAUUAAUGUGAAGAAACAAAAAGGUGACUGGGACAAGGCAGAGGACUGUGGAAGGAAAUGACAGGGGAUAAGAUAAGAGUAGGGAGACCAGCAAAAGAGUGAAAAAGAGGAGAAAGUAGGACAAGGGCACAGAAGGCAAUGGCUAGACAGCUCCAGAACCCCAAUCCUUUGAGGACACUGUCACAGGAAAAGACAUCAUUAGAGAUUCGUUUUCCUUUCUUAAUUUCAGGCUCGAUAGAAUAAGGAAUUUACCAUGGUUCCUGGGUGCCACACAGGAGAACUGGAGACCUAGAGUAAUUGGCCAGGAAAGGAUAGGGAAGGAUCAUCCAGCAGAGCCCAGGGUGAAGGAAUGACACUAGUGUUAGGUCACUAAUCAUAAGCUCCCAAAUGAAUACCUAGCUCCUCCUAAAGACCACUGCCCAUGCCCUUCACCUGUUGUGACUUUGGGCAUACUUUUACACCUAAUAUUCUGUGAUCCAGAGCAAGCAAUCCCCCUUCCAAAUUAGAAUCUUCAGGAGACACAAAUUCUAGCCUCAGCUCUGCUCCUAACUCUCAAUGGGUGACAGUCUUUGUGGCGGCACAAUUGCAUGCCCUGAAUAGGUGGGCAUUGGACUAGCUGGGUUCCAAGGACCCUUUGACACCUACUGCCAGACUGUGAUUCUCAAAGUGACUGAGGGUCCUCUUGGUCACAGAGAUAAUGCCCACAAUAGGAAGACAAAGUAAGGGAGUCACAGGUACUUCCUUGGUUUUUCCCAUGGUCACAUUCUUAAUAUUGAUCCUAAAAACUGCCCCAUUCAUCUAGAAGGAAGUCAGGUAUGAUAGUGGGAUGUGUUAGGAAAAAACCCCAUUAAGGAUGCAAAUGCACAGGCAAGCCCCCUCUGAAGUCCUGUGGGUAAAAUCAUGUUGGACUCUUGAGAAAGCACAGGACCUUGCAUAUCUGAAGGGCAACAAGGUAAGGUUCAAAGGACAUGGACAAGAUUAGGGCUCAUGUAAUCUGCUUUGUCUAGUCUAUUUUGCCACAAAUCAAAACUUUCAGUAAGUUGUACCUUUUCAUGUCCUUCAUUUGCAAAUCUAGGCCUGGCCAGACUAAGAUGCUGCCACCAGAGACAGUCCUGCAAUCAAGACAAGUUUAGGAUCCUAAAGGAUUCCUCUGACACAAACUGCCUAUCAGAUGUUGUAGAGGGGAGUUAACUUCUUCUCUCAUGAUCCUCAGUCACAAAAAAUAUAUCCCAUAUGACCAUCAGCCUAGCCUGAAGGAUGAAAUCUCAGUUCAGAUAAGGAAACUGAGAACCCGAAGGGCUAAGGUCUCCAUCUGCCUUGGGUCACACAGUCAUAGAGUGGCUGAGCCAUCAUUUGAACACAGGAUCCAUGAAUGGUAAAUCUGUGAUCCAGAGCAAGCAGAAGCCUUGGCCAGAUUAGAAUCUUCAGGAGACAUGGAUUCUAGCCUCAACUCUGCUCCUAACUGUCAAUGGAUGACAGUCUCUGUGUUGGCUCAGUGACAUUCCCUGAAAAAGAGGGCAUUGGACUGGGUUCCAUGAAUGGUAAAGGCAGCACAGGGUGGCCCAGGAUGACAUCACUGUUGUCAAGAUGAGGAAACUGAGAGCCAGAAGGGCUAAGGUCUCCAUCUGCCCUGGGUCACACAAUCAUGGAGUGGCAGAGCCAUCAUUAGAACACAGGUUCCAUGAAUGGUGAACGUAGCACAGGGUCACCAAGGAUGACAUCACUGUUGUUAAGGUUUCUGGAAUGUUCCCACUAAUUGUGAUGAACGGGAGGAGAGGAAAGGAGGAGAGGAAAGAAUAAGGGGUCUGGGUGGAGGAGGAUACUAGGGAAAGGGAGGAAUUAGGAGAGGUCAAAGAGAAAUUAAAAUAUAUGAAGAGGAAAUAGGAGGAGUAGGUUCUAAGAUGAUCCAAUUUAAGGUGGAAGGGCUCUCAGGGUCCAACUGCUCCAACCAUCUCCUUGGACAGAAAAGGCAGCUCAAGGACAGAAAAGUUCACUGAUUGGCAAAGGUUCCCACAGGUAAUACCGAGUAGAGCUGAGAUUUGGACUUAGGGCCUCUGUCUCCCAAGGUACUGUCUUUCAUUAGGCACUCUAACAUUCCCUCCAGCACAGAAAGGGAGAGAAAUGGGGGAUGGGCAGAAAAGUAAGAAGUUGGUAGAAGGAGGUGAGAAGAAGUGAGCUAAGGAGGAUGCAAUGGAAGGAGGAGGAGGAAUAGGUAUGAGAUUGUAAAGACAUUGAGGAUUGAGCAUGGAGAAGUGAGGAAAGGAUUGGGAAGAGAAAUUUGAAGAAACCAUGUGUUUAGGGAGAAAAAUAGUAAGAGAAAAAAGAAAAAGGAAUGAAGGUGAAGAGACAAAAGGGGGACUGGGACAAGGCAGAGGAAUGAGGAAGGGAUGGACAGGAUGAGAAAAAAGUAUGGAGAGCAGGGAAAGGGUCAUAAAGAGGAGAAGGUAGGACAAGGGCACAGCAGGCAAUGGCUGGACAGCUCAAGUACCCCAAUCCUUAGAGGACACUGUCACAGGAAAAGACAUUAUUAGAGAUUCUUUUUCCUUUCUAAAUUUCAGCCUAGAUACAAUAAGGAAUUGUCCAUGGUUCCUGGAUGCCACAAAACAGAAGUGGGGACCUGGAGGAAUUGGCCAGGAAAGGACAGUGAAGGAUCAUCCAGCAGAGCCAAGGGUGAAGGAAUGACACUAGUGUGAGGUCACUAUUCAUAAGCUCCCAAAUGAAUACCCAGCUCCUACUAAAGGUCUCUGCCCAUGCCCUUCACCUCUUGUGACUUUGGGCAUACUUUUCAGCCUAAUCCUCUGUGAUCCAGAGCAAGCAACCCCCCUGGCCAGAUUAGAAUCUUCAGGAGGCAUGAAUUCUAGGCUCAGCUCUGCUCCUAACUGUCCUUGUGGUGGCACAGUUACAUGCCCUGAAUAGGAGGGCAUUGGACUAGUUGGAAUCCAAGGAACCUUUGACACCUGCUGCCAGACUGUGAUUCUCAGAGUGACUGAGGGUCCUCUUGGUCACAGAUAUAAUUCCCACAAUAUGAAGUCAACAUAAGGGAGUCACAGACACUUCCUUUGCUUUUCCAUGGUCACAUUCUUAAUCUUGAUCCUACCCACUGCCCCAUUCAUCUAGAAGGAAGUCAGGUAUGAUAUUGGGAUGUGUUAGGAAAAAACCCAUUAAAGAUGCAAAUCCACAGGCAAGCGCCCUCUGAAACCCUAUAGGUAAAAUCACCUUGUACUCUUCAGAAAGUACAGGACCUUGCAUAUUUGGAGGGCAGCAAGGUAAGGUUCAAAGGACAUGGAUAAGAUUAGGGCUCAUGUCAUCUGCUUUCUCUAGCCUGUUUUGCCACAAAUCAAAACUUUCAGUAAGUUGUACCUUCUCAGGUCCUUCAUUUGCAAAUCUAGGCCUAGCCAGACUAAGAUGGUGCUACCACAGACCGUCCUGCAAUCAAGACAAGUUUAGGAUCUUAAAGUAUUCCUCUGGCGCCAGCUACCUAUCAGAUGUUGUAGAGGGGAGUUAAUUUCUUCUCUCAUGAUCCUCAGUCACAAAGCAUAUAUCCCAUAUGACCAUCAGCCUAUCCUGAGGGAUGAAAUCUCAGCUCAGGUCACUAAAGUCACCAGAAUGUGAGGGUUGGUCUAGCUGAACAUACAACAUUUUAUUCAAGGUCAAAUCCUAUCUACCUGAUGAUUCCUAUCAACCUGUAGAUUCCUCAUUUUCUUUUUCAGAUGAGGAAACUGAGAGCCAGAAGGGCUAAGGUCUCCAUCAGCCCUGGGUCACACAAUCAUGGAGUGGCAGAGCCAUCAUUAGAACACAGGUUCCAUGAAUGGUAAAGGCAGCACAGGGUCACCCAUGAAGGCAUCACUGUUGUCAAGGUUUCUGGAAUGUUCCCACAAAUUGUGAUUAAAGAGAGGAGAGUAAAGGAGGAGAGAAAAGAAGUUGGUGGGGGGCGUGGAGGGGGUAAAAGGAAUCUAGGGAAAGGGAUUAAUUAGGAGGGUUUAAAGAGAAAUUUAAAAAUAUAAAGAGAAAAUGGGAGGAGUAGAUUUUCAGAUGAUCCAAUUUAAGGUGGAAGGGCUCUCAGGGUCCAACUGCUCCAACCCUCUCCUUGGACAGAAAAGGCAGCUCAAGGCCAGAAAAGUUCACUGAUUGGCAAAGGUCCCCACAGGUAAUACCGAGUAGAGCUGAGAUUUGGUCUUAGGGCCUCUGUCUCCCAAGGUACUGUCUUUCAUGAGGCACUCUAACAUCACUCCAGCACUGAAAGGGACAAAAAUAGUGGUUGGACAGAAAAGAAAGAAGUUGGUGGAAGGAGUUGAGAGAAAAGUUUGCUGAUGAGGAUGCAAUGGAAUGAGGAGUAGGAAUAGGUAAGAGAUUGUAAAGACAUUGGGGAUUGAGCAUGGAGAAGUGAGGAAAGGAUUGGGAUGAGAAUAUUGAAGAAGAAAGCAUGAUUUAGGGAGAAAAUUGAAGGAAGGAGAUGGAAAAGAUUGAGGAGAAGGUAAACAGAAAAAAGAAAAAUGAAUUAAGUUGAAGUGACAGAAGGGGUUCCAGGACAAGGCAGAGAAAUGAUUAAAGAAAGCACAGGCGAUGAGAUGCAAGUAGAGAGACCAGCCAAAAGGUGAGGAAGAGGAGAAGGUUCGACAAGGGCAAAGCAGGCAAUGGCUGGACAACUCCAGAACCCCAACACUUCCAGGACACUUUCACAUAGAGAUGCUUUUUCCUUCUAAAUUUCAGGAUAGAUAAAAUGAGGAAUUGACCAUGGUUCCUGGGUGCCACAGAGGAGAACCGGAGAUCUGGAGUAAUUGGCCAGGAAAGAACAGGGAAGGCUCAUCCAGCAGAGCCCUGGAUGAAGGAAAGACUCUAGUGUUACGUCACUAAUCAUAAGCUCCCAAAUUAAUACCCAGUUCCUCCUAAAGGCCUCUACCCAUUCACUUCACCUGUUGUGACUUUGGGCAUACUUUUCCACCUAAUAGUCUGAUCCACAGCAAGCAGAAGCCUUGGCCAGAUUAGAAUCUUCAGGAGAAAUAAAUUCUAGCCUCAGCUCUGCUCCUAACUGUCAAUGGAUGACAGUCUUUGUGGUGGCACAGAUACAUGCCCUGAAAAAGGGGGCAUUGGACUAGAUGGGAUCCAAGGAACCUUUGACACCUGCUGCCAGGUUGUGAUUCUCAGAAUGACUGAGGGUCCUCUUGAUCACAGAUAUAAUGCCCUCAAUAUUAAGCCAACGUAAAGGAGUCACAGGCACUUCCUUUGCUUUUUCCAUAGCCACAUUCUUAAUCUUGAUCCUACCCACUUCCCCAUUCAUCUAGAAGGAAGAAAGGUAUGAAAGUGGGAUGAGUUAGGAAAAAUCCAUUGAAGAAAACUCCACAUGCAAGCUCCCCUGUGAAUGUCUGUGGGUAAAUUAAGUUAGACUCUUGAGAAAGUACAAGACCUCACAUAUCUGGAAACCAGCCAGGUGAGGUUCAAAGGGCAUAGAUAGGAUUAGGGCUCAUGUCAUCUGCUUUCUCUAGCCUGUUUUGUCCCAAAUCAAAACUUUCAGUAACUUGUACAUUCUCAGGUCCUUCAUUUGCAAAUCUAAGGUUAGCUCGACUAAGAUGGUACCACCACAGACAGACCUGAAAUCAAGACAAGGUUAGGAUCCUUAAGUAUUCCUCUGACACAAGCUGCCUAUCAUAUUUUGUAGAGGGGAGUUAACUUCUUCUCUCAUGAUCCUCAGUCACAAACCAUAUAUCCCAUAUGACCAUGAGGAUAAAAUCUCAGCUCAGGUCACUAAAGUCACCAGAAUGUGAGGGUUGGUCUAGCUGAACAUAUUCAAUGUCAAAUGCUAUAAACCUGAUGAUUCCUAUCAACCUGAAGAUUCCUCAUUUUCUUUUUCAGAUGAGGAAACUGAGAGCCAGAAGGGCUAAGGUCUCCAUCUGCCCUGGGUCACUCAAUCAAUGGAGUGGCAGAACCAUCAUUUGAACACAGGUUCCAUGAAUGGUAAAGGCAGCACAGGGUCACCAAGGAUGACAUCACUGUUGUCAAGAUGAGGAAACUGAGAGCCAGAAGGGCUAAGGUCUCCAUCUGCACUGGGUCACACAAUCAUGGAGUGGCAGAGCCAUCAUUAGAACACAGGUUCCAUGAAUGGUGAAGGCAGCACAGGGUCACCAAGGAUGACAUCACUGUUGUCAAGAUGAGGAAACUGAGAGCCAGAAGGGCUAAGGUCUCCAUCUGCCCUGGGUCUCUCAAUCAAUGGAGUGGCAGAACCAUCAUUUGAACACAGGUUCCAUGAAUGGUAAAGGCAGCACAGGGUCACCCAGGAUGACAUCACUGUUGUCAAGGUUUCUGGAAUGUUCCCACUAAUUGAGAUGAAAGGGAGGAGAGUAAAGAAUAAGGGGUCUGGGUGGAGGAGGAAAGUAGGGAAAGGGAGGAAUUAGGAGGGGUCAAAGAGAAAUUAAAAUAAAUGAAGAGGAAAUGGGAGGAGUAGAUUCUCAGAUGAUCCAAUUUAAGGUGGAAGGGCUCUCAGGGUCCAACUGCUCCAACCCUCUCCUUGGACAGAAAAGGCAGCUCAAGGCCAGAAAAGUUCACUGAUUGGCAAAGGUUCCCACAAGUAAUGCUGAGUAGAGCUGAGAUUUGGACUAAGGGCCUCUGUCUCCCAAGGUACUGUCUUUCAUUAGGCACUCUAACAUUCCCUCCAGCACAGAAAGGGAGAGAAAUAGGGGAUGGGCAGAAAAGUAAGAAGUUCCUAGAAGGAGGUGAGAAGAAGUGAGCUAAGGAGGAUGCAAUGGAAGGAGGAGGAGGAAUAGGUAUGAGAUUGUAAAGACAUUGAGGACUGAACAUGGAGAAGUGAGGAAAGGAUUGGGAAGAGAAAUUUGAAGAAAGCAUUUGUUUAGGGAGAAAAAUAAUAAGAGAAAAAAGAAAAAGGAAUUAAGGUGAAGAGACAAAAGGGGGACUGGGACAAGGCAGAGGAAUGAGGAAGGGAUGGACAGGAUGAGAAAAAAGUAUGGAGAGCAGGGAAAGGGUCAUAAAGAGGAGAAGGUGGGACAAGGGCACAGCAGGCAAUGGCUGGACAGCUCAAGUACCCCAAUCCUUAGAGGACACUGUCACAGGAAAAGACAUUAUUAGAGAUUCUUUUUCCUUUCUAAAUUUCAGGCUAGAUACAAUAAGGAAUUGUCCAUGGUUCCUGGAUGCCACAAAACAGAAGUGGGGACCUGGAGUAAUUGGCCAGGAAAGGACAAGGAAGGCUCAUCCAGCAGAGCCCAGGGUGAAGGAAUGACACUAGUGUGAGGUCACUAUUCAUAAGCUCCCAAAUGAAUACCCAGCUCCUCCUAAAGGCCUCUGCCCAUGCCCUUCACCUGUUGUGACUUUGGGCAUACUUUUCAGCCUAAUCCUCUGUGAUCCAGAGCAAGCAACCCCCCUGGCCAGAUUAGAAUCUUCAGGAGGCAUGAAUUCUAGGCUCAGCUCUGCUCCUAACUGUCCUUGUGGUGGCACAGUUACAUGGCCUGAAUAGGAGGGCAUUGGACUAGUUGGGAUCCAAGGAACCUUUGACACCUGCUGCCAGACUGUGAUUCUCAGAGUGACUGAGGGUCCUCUUGGUCACAGAUAUAAUUCCCACAAUAUGAAGUCAACGUAAGGGAGUCACAGACACUUCCUGUGCUUUUCCAUGGUCACAUUCUUAAUCAUGAUCCUACCCACUGCCCCAUUAAUCUAGAAGGAAGUCAGGUAUGAUAUUGGGAUGUUUUAGGAAAAAAAAACAUUAAAGAUGAAAAUCCACAGGCAAGCCCCCUCUGAAGGCCUGUGGGUAAAAUCAUGAUGGACUCUUGAGAAAGCACAGGACCUUGCAUAUCUGGAGGGCAGCAAGGAAAGGUUCAAAGGACAUGGAUAAGAUUAGGGCUCAUGUCAUCUGCUUUCUCUAGCCUGUUUUGCCACAAAUCAAAACUUUCAGUAAGUUGUACCUUCUCAGGUCCUUCAUUUGCAAAUCUAAGGUUAGCUCGACUAAGAUGGUACCACCACAGACAGUCCUGAAAUCAAGACAAGGUUAGGAUCCUUAAGUAUUCCUCUGACACAAGCUGCCUAUCAGAUUUUGUAGAGGGGAGUUAACUUCUUCUCUCAUGAUCCUCAGUCACAAACCAUAUAUCCCAUGUGACCAUGAGGAUAAAAUCUCAGCUCAGGUCACUAAAGUCACCAGAAUGUGAGGGUUGGUCUAGCUGAACAUAUUCAAUGUCAAAUGCUAUAAACCUGAUGAUUCCUAUCAACCUGAAGAUUCCUCAUUUUCUUUUUCAGAUGAGGAAACUGAGAGCCAGAAGGGCUAAGGUCUCCAUCUGCCCUGGUUCACUCAAUCAAUGGAGUGGCAGAACCAUCAUUUGAACACAGGUUCCAUCAAUGGUAAAGGCAGCACAGGGUCACCCAGGAUGACAUCACUGUUGUCAAGAUGAGGAAACUGAGAGCCAGAAGGGCUAAGGUCUCCAUCUGCCCUGGGUCACACAAUCAUGGAGUGGCAGAGCCAUCAUUAGAACACAGGUUCCAUGAAUGGUAAAGGCAGCACAGGGUCACCCAUGAAGGCAUCACUGUUGUCAAGGUUUCUGGAAUGUUCCCACUAAUUGUGAUGAAAGAGAGGAGAGUAAAGGAGGAGAGAAAAGAAGUUGGUGGGGGGCGUGGAGGGGGUAAAAGGAAUCUAGGGAAAGGGAUUAAUUAGGAGGGUUUAAAGAGAAAUUUAAAAAUAUAAAGAAAAAAUGGGAGGAGUAGAUUCUCAGAUGAUCCAAUUUAAGGUGGAAGGGCUCUCAGGGUCCAACUGCUCCAACCCUCUCCUUGGACAGAAAAGGCAGCUCAAGGCCAGAAAAGUUCACUGAUUGGCAAAGGUCCCCACAGGUAAUACCGAGUAGAGCUGAGAUUUGGUCUUAGGGCCUCUGUCUCCCAAGGUACUGUCUUUCAUGAGGCACUCUAACAUCACUCCAGCACUGAAAGGGACAAAAAUAGUGGUUGGACAGAAAAGAAAGAAGUUGGUGGAAGGAGUUGAGAGAAAAGUUUGCUGAUGAGGAUGCAAUGGAAUGAGGAGUAGGAAUAGGUAAGAGAUUGUAAAAACAUUGGGGAUUGAGCAUGGAGAAGUGAGGAAAGGAUUGGGAUGAGAAUAUUAAAGAAGAAAGCAUGGUUUAGGGAGAAAAUUGAAGGAAGGAGAUGGAAAAGAUUGAGGAGAAGGUAAACAGAAAAAAGAAAAAUUAAUUAAGUUGAAGUGACAGAAGGGGUUCCGGGACAAGGCAGAGAAAUGAUUAAAGAAAGCACAGGCGAUGAGUUGCAAGUAGAGAGACCAGCCAAAAGGUGAGGAAUAGGAGAAGGUUCUACAAGGGCACAGCAGGCAAUGGCUGGACAACUCCAGAACCCCAACACUUCCAGGACACUUUCACAUAGAGAUGCUUUUUCCUUCUAAAUUUCAGGAUAGAUAAAAUGAGGAAUUGACCAUGGUUCCUGGGUGCCACAGAGGAGAACCGGAGAUCUGGAGUAAUUGGCCAGGAAAAAACAGGGAAGGCUCAUCCAGCAGAGCCCUGGAUGAAGGAAAGACUCUAGUGUUACGUCACUAAUCAUAAGCUCCCAAAUUAAUACCCAGUUCCUCCUAAAGCCCUCUACCCAUUCACUUCACCUGUUGUGACUUUGGGCAUACUUUUCCACCUAAUAGUCUGAUCCACAGCAAGCAGAAGCCUUGGCCAGAUUAGAAUCUUCAGGAGAAAUAAAUUCUAGCCUCAGCUCUGCUCCUAACUGUCAAUGGAUGACAGUCUUUGUGGUGGCACAGAUACAUGCCCUGAAAAAGAGGGCAUUGGACUAGAUGGGAUCCAAGGAACCUUUGACACCUGCUGCCAGGCUGUGAUUCUCAGAAUGACUGAGGGUCCUCUUGAUCACAGAUAUAAUGCCCUCAAUAUUAAGCCAAGGUAAAGGAGUCAAAGGCACUUCCUUUGCUUUUUCCAUAGCCACAUUCUUAAUCUUGAUCCUACCCACUUCCCCAUUCAUCUAGAAGGAAGAAAGGUAUGAAAGUGGGAUGAAUUAGGAAAAAUCCAUUGAAGAAAACUCCACAUGCAAGCUCCCCUGUGAAUGUCUGUGGGUAAAUUAAGUUAGACUCUUGAGAAAGUACAAGACCUCACAUAUCUGGAAACCAGCCAGGUGAGGUUCAAAGGGCAUAGAUAGGAUUAAGGCUCAUGUCAUCUGCUUUCUCUAGCCUGUUUUGUCCCAAAUCAAAACUUUCAGUAACUUGUACAUUCUCAGGUCCUUCAUUUGCAAAUCUAAGGUUAGCUCGACUAAGAUGGUACCACCACAGACAGUCCUGAAAUCAAGACAAGGUUAGGAUCCUUAAGUAUUCCUCUGACACAAGCUGCCUAUCAGAUUUUGUAGAGGGGAGUUAACUUCUUCUCUCAUGAUCCUCAGUCACAAACCAUAUAUCCCAUAUGACCAUGAGGAUAAAAUCUCAGCUCAGGUCACUAAAGUCACCAGAAUGUGAGGGUUGGUCUAGCUGAACAUAUUCAAUGUCAAAUGCUAUAAACCUGAUGAUUCCUAUCAACCUAAAGAUUCCUCAUUUUCUUUUUCAGAUGAGGAAACUGAGAGCCAGAAGGGCUAAGGUCUCCAUCUGCCCUGGGUCACUCAAUCAAUGGAGUGGCAGAACCAUCAUUUGAACACAGGUUCCAUGAAUGGUAAAAGCAGCACAGGGUCACCCAGGAUGACAUCACUGUUGUCAAGGUUUCUGGAAUGUUCCCACUAAUUGAGAUGAAAGGGAGGAGAGUAAAGAAUAAGGGGUCUGGGUGGAGGAGGAAAGUAGGGAAAGGGAGGAAUUAGGAGGGGUCAAAGAGAAAUUAAAAUAUAUGAAGAGGAAAUGGGAGGAGUAGAUUCUCAGAUGAUCCACUUUAAGGUGGAAGGGCUCUCAGGGUCCAACUGCUCCAACCCUCUCCUUGGACAGAAAAGGCAGCUCAAGGCCAGAAAAGUUCACUGAUUGGCAAAGGUUCCCACAGGUAAUGCUGAGUAGAGCUGAGAUUUGGACUAAGGGCCUCUGUCUCCCAAGGUACUGUCUUUCAUUAGGCACUCUAACAUUCCCUCCAGCACAGAAAGGGAGAGAAAUAGGGGAUGGGCAGAAAAGUAAGAAGUUCCUAGAUGGAGGUGAGAAGAAGUGAGCUAAGAAGGAUGCAAUGCAAGGAGGAGGAGGAAUAGGUAUGAGAUUGUAAAGACAUUGAGGACUGAGCAUGGAGAAGUGAGGAAAGGAUUGGGAAGAGAAAUUUGAAGAAAGCAUUUGUUUAGGGAGAAAAAUAAGAGAAAAAAGAAAAAGGAAUUAAGGUGAAGAGACAAAAGGGGGACUGGGACAAGGCAGAGGAAUGAGGAAGGGAUGGACAGGAUGAGAAAAAAGUAUGGAGAGCAGGGAAAGGGUCAUAAAGAGGAGAAGGUAGGACAAGGGCACAGCAGGCAAUGGCUGGACAGCUCAAGUACCCCAAUCCUUAGAGGACACUGUCACAGGAAAAGACAUUAUUAGAGAUUCUUUUUCCUUUCUAAAUUUCAGGCUAGAUACAAUAAGGAAUUGUCCAUGGUUCCUGGAUGCCACAAAACAGAAGUGGGGACCUGGAGUAAUUGGCCAGGAAAGAACAGGGAAGGCUCAUCCAGCAGAGCCCAGGGUGAAGGAAUGACACUAGUGUGAGGUCACUAUUCAUAAGCUCCCAAAUGAAUACCCAGCUCCUCCUAAAGACCACUGCCCAUGCCCUUCACCUGUUGUGACUUUGGGCAUACUUUUCAGCCUAAUCCUCUGUGAUCCAGAGCAAGCAACCCCCCUGGCCAGAUGAGAAUCUUCAGGAGGCAUGAAUUCUAGGCUCAGCUCUGCUCCUAACUGUCCUUGUGGUGGCACAGUUACAUGCCCUGAAUAGAAGGGCAUUGGACUAGUUGGGAUCCAAGGAACCUUUGACACCUGCUGCCAGACUGUGAUUCUCAGAGUGACUGAGGGUCCUCUUGGUCACAGAUAUAAUUCCCACAAUAUGAAGUCAACGUAAGGGAGUCACAGACACUUCCUGUGCUUUUCCAUGGUCACAUUCUUAAUCAUGAUCCUACCCACUGCCCCAUUAAUCUAGAAGGAAGUCAGGUAUGAUAUUGGGAUGUGUUAGGAAAAAAACCCAUUAAAGAUGAAAAUCCACAGGCAAGCCCCCCCCUGAAGGCCUGUGGGUAAAAUCAUGAUGGACUCUUGAGAAAGCACAGGACCUUGCAUAUCUGGAGGGCAGCAAGGUAAGGUUCAAAGGACAUAGAUAAGAUUAGGGCUCAUGUCAUCUGCUUUCUCUAGCCUGUUUUGCCACAAAUCAAAACUUUCAGUAAGUUGUACCUUCUCAGGUCCUUCAUUUGCAAAUCUAGGCCUAGCCAGCCUAGAUGGUGCCACAGCAGACAGUCCUGCAAUCAAGACAAGGUUAGGAUCUUAAAGUAUUCCUCUGCCGCCAGCAGCCUAUCAGAUGUUGUAGAGGGGAGUUAACUACUUCUAUCAUGAUCCUCAGUCACAAAGCAUAUAUCCCAUAUGACCAUCAGCCUAUCCUGAGGGAUAAAAUCUCAGCUCAGGUCACUAAAGUCAUCAGAAUGUGAGCGUUGGUCUAGCUGAAAAUACAACAUUUUAUUCAAGGUCAAAUCCUAUCAACCUGAUGAUUCCUAUCAACCUGAGGAUUCCUCAUUUUCUUUUUCAGAUGAGAAAACUGAGAGCCAGGAGGGCUAAUGUCUCCAUCUGCCCUGGGUCACACAAUCAUGGAGUGGCAGAGCCAUCAUUAGAACACAGGUUCCAUGAAUGUUAAAGGCAGCACAGGGUCACCCAGGAUGACAUCACUGUUGUCAAGAUUUCUGGAAUGUUCCCACUAAUUGUGAUGAAAGGGAGGAGAGGAAAGGAAGAGAGGAAGCCUAGAUACAAUAAGGAAUUGUCCAUGGUUCCUGGAUGCCACAAAACAGAAGUGGGGACCUGCAGUUAUUGGCCAGGAAAGGUGAGGGAAGGCUCAUCCAGCAGAGCCCAGGGUGAAGGAAUGACACUAGUGUAAGGUCACUAUUCAUAAGCUCCCAAAUGAAUACCCAGCUCCUCCUAAAGGCCUCUGCCCAUGCCUUUCAUCUCUUGUGACUUUGGGCAUACUUUUCAGCCUAAUCCUCUGUGAUCCAGAGCAAGCAACCCCCCUGGCCAGAUUAGAAUCUUCAGGAGGCUUGAAUUCUAGGCACAGCUCUGCUCCUAACUGUCCUUGUGGUGGCACAGUUACAUGCCCUGAAUAGGAGGGCAUGGGACUAGUUGGGAUCCAAGGAACCUUUGACACCUGCUGCCAGACUGUGAUUCUCAGAGUGGCUGAGGGUCCUCUUGGUCACAGAUAUAAUGCCCACAAUAUGAAGCCAAGGUAAAGGAGUCUCAGGCACUUCCUUUGAUUUUCCAUGGUCACAUUCACAAUCUUGAUCCUACCCACUGCCCCAUUCAUCCAGAAGGAAGUCAGGUAUGAUAUUGGGAUGUGUUAGGAAAAAAACCCAUUAAAGAUGCAAAUCCACAGGCAAGCCCCCUCUGAAAGCCUAUAGGUAAAAUCACCUUGUACUCUUCAGAAAGCACAGGACCUUGCAUAUUUGGAGGGCAGCAAGGUAAGGUUCAAAGGACAUGGAUAAGAUUAGGGCUCAUGUCAUCUGCUUUCUCUAGCCUGUUUUGCCACAAAUCAAAACUUUCAGUAAGUUGUACCUUCUCAGGUCCUUCAUUUACAAAUCUAGGCCUAGCCAGACUAAGAUGGUGCUACCACAGACAGUCCUGCAAUCAAGACAAGUUUAGGAUCUUAAAGUAUUCCUCUGGCGCCAGCUGCCUAUCAGAUGUUGUAGAGGGGAGUUAACUUCUUCUCUCAUGAUCCUCAGUCACAAAGCAUAUAUCCCAUAUGACCAUCAGCCUAUCCUGAGGGAUAAAAUCUCAGCUCAGGUCACUAAAGUCACCAGAAUGUGAGGGUUGGUCUAGCUGAACAUACAACAUUUUAUUCAAGGUCAAAUGCUAUCUACCUGAUGAUUCCUAUCAACCUGUAGAUUCCUCAUUUUCUUUUUCAGAUGAGGAAACUGAGAUUCAGAAAGGCUAAGGUCUCCAUCUGCCCUGGGUCACACAAUCAUGGAGUGGCAGAGCCAUCAUUAGAACACAGGUUCCAUGAAUGGUACAGGUAGCACAGGGUCACCCAGGAUGACAUCACUUUUGUCAAGGUUUCUGGAAUGUUCCCACUAAUUGUGAUGAAAGGGAGGAGAGUAAAGGAGGAGAGGAAAGAAUUUGGUGGGGGGCGUGGAGGGGGUAAAAGGAAUCUAGGGAAAGGGAUUAAUUAGGAGGGUUUAAAGAGAAAUUUAAAAAUAUAAAGAGAAAAUGGGAGGAGUAGAUUUUCAGAUGAUCCAAUUUAAGGUGGAAGGGCUCUCAGGGUCCAACUGCUCCAACCCUCUCCUUGGACAGAAAAGGCAGCUCAAGGCCAGAAAAGUUCACUGAUUGGCAAAGGUCCCCACAGGUAAUACCGAGUAGAGCUGAGAUUUGGACUUAGGGCCUCUCUCUCCCAAGGUACUGUCUUUCAUGAGGCACUCUAACAUUCCCUCCAGCACUGAAAGGGACAAAAAUAGUGGUUGGACAGAAAAGAAAGAAGUUGGUGGAAGGAGUUGAGAGAAAAGUUUGCUGAUGAGGAUGCAAUGGAAUGAGGAGUAGGAAUAGGUAAGAGAUUGUAAAGACAUUGGGGAUUGAGCAUGGAGAAGUGAGGAAAGGAUUGGGAUGAGAAUAUUGAAGAAGAAAGCAUGGUUUAGGGAGAAAAUUGAAGGAAGGAGAUGGAAAAGAUUGAGGAGAAGGUAAACAGAAAAAAGAAAAAUGAAUUAAGUUGAAGUGACAGAAGGGGUUCUGGGACAAGGCAGAGAAAUGAUUAAAGAAAGCACAGGCAAUGAGAUGCAACUAGAGAGACCAGCCAAAAGGUGAGGAAGAGGAGAAGGUUCGACAAGGGCACAGCAGGCAAUGGCUGGACAUCUCCAGAACCCCAACACUUCCAGGACACUUUCACAUAGAGAUGCUUUUUCCUUCUAAAUUUCAGGAUAGAUAAAAUGAGGAAUUGACCAUGGUUCCUGGGUGCCACAGAGGAGAACCGGAGAUCUGGAGUAAUUGGCCAGGAAAAAACAGGGAAGGCUCAUCCAGCAGAGCCCUGGAUGAAGGAAAGACUCUAGUGUUACGUCACUAAUCAUAAGCUCCCAAAUUAAUACCCAGUUCCUCCUAAAGCCCUCUACCCAUUCACUUCACCUGUUGUGACUUUGGGCAUACUUUUCCACCUAAUAGUCUGAUCCACAGCAAGCAGAAGGCUUGGCCAGAUUAGAAUCUUCAGGAGAAAUAAAUUCUAGCCUCAGCUCUGCUCCUAACUGUCAAUGGAUGACAGUCUUUGUGGUGGCACAGAUACAUGCCCUGAAAAAGGGGGCAUUGGACUAGAUGGGAUCCAAGGAACCUUUGACACCUGCUGCCAGGCUGUGAUUCUCAGAAUGACUGAGGGUCCUCUUGAUCACAGAUAUAAUGCCCUCAAUAUUAAGCCAAGGUAAAGGAGUCAAAGGCACUUCCUUUGCUUUUUCCAUAGCCACAUUCUUAAUCUUGAUCCUACCCACUUCCCCAUUCAUCUAGAAGGAAGAAAGGUAUGAAAGUGGGAUGAGUUAGGAAAAAUCCAUUGAAGAAAACUCCACAUGCAAGCUCCCCUGUGAAUGUCUGUGGGUAAAUUAAGUUAGACUCUUGAGAAAGUACAAGACCUCACAUAUCUGGAAACCAGCCAGGUGAGGUUCAAAGGGCAUAGAUAGGAUUAGGGCUCAUGUCAUCUGCUUUCUCUAACCUGUUUUGCCACAAAUCAAAACUUUCAGUAAGUUGUACAUUCUCAGCUCCUUCAUUUGCAAAUCUAAGGUUAGCUAGACUAAGAUGGUACCACCACAGACAGUCCUGAAAUCAAGACAAGGUUAGGAUCCUUAAGUAUUCCUCUGACACAAGCUGCCUAUCAGAUUUUGUAGAGGGGAGUUAACUUCUUCUCUCAUGAUCCUCAGUCACAAACCAUAUAUCCCAUAUGACCAUGAGGAUAAAAUCUCAGCUCAGGUCACUAAAGUCACCAGAAUGUGAGCGUUGGUCUAGCUGAACAUAUUCAAUGUCAAAUGCUAUAAACCUGAUGAUUCCUAUCAACCUGAAGAUUCCUCAUUUUCUUUUUCAGAUGAGGAAACUGAGAGCCAGGAGGGCUAAGGUCUCCAUCUGCCCUGGGUCACUCAAUCAAUGGAGUGGCAGAACCAUCAUUUGAACACAGGUUCCAUGAAUGGUAAAGGCAGCACAGGGUCACCAAGGAUGAUAUCACUAUUGUCAAGAUAAGGAAACUGAGAACCCGAAGGGCUAAGGUCUCCAUCUGCCUUGGGUCACACAGUCAUAGAGUGGCUGAGCCAUCAUUUGAACACAGGAUCCAUGAAUGGUAAAAUGAGGAAACUGAGAGCCAGAAGGGCUAAGGUCUACAUCUGCCCUGAGUCACACAAUUAUGGAGUGGCAGAGCCAUCAUUUGAACAUAGGUUCCAUGAAUGGUAAAGGCAGCACAGGGUCACCAAGGAUGACAUCACUGUUGUCAAGGUUUCUGGAAUGUUCCCACUAAUUGUGAUGAAAGGGAGGAGAGGAAAGGAGGAGAGGAAAGAAUAAGGGGUUUGGGUGGAGGAGGAAACUAGGGAAAGGGAGGAAUUAGGAGGGGUCAAAGAGAAAUUAAAAUAUAUGAAGAGGAAACGGGAGGAGUAGAUUCUCAGAUGAUCCAAUUUAAGGUGGAAGGGCUCUCAGGGUCCAACUGCUCCAACCCUCUCCUUGGACAGAAAAGGCAGUUCAAGGCCAGAAAAGUUCACUGACUGGCAAAGGAUCCCACAGGUAAUACAGAUCAGAGAUGAGAUUUGGACUUAGGACCUCUGUCUCCCAAGGUACUGUCUUUUAUUAGGCACUCUAACAUUCCCUCCAGCACAGAAAGGGAGAGAAAUGGGGGAUGGGCAGAAAAGUAAGAAGUUGGUAGAAGGAGGUGAGAAGAAGUGAGCUAAAGAGGAUGCAAUGGAAUGAGGAAGAGGAAUAGGUAAGAGAUUAUAAAGACAUUGAGGAUUGAGCAUGGAGAAGUGAGGAAAGGAUUGGGAAGAGAAAUUUGAAGAAAGCAUGUGUUUAGGGAGAAAAAUAGUAAGAGAAAAAAGAAAAAGGAAUGAAGGUGAAGAGACAAAAGGGGGACUGGGACAAGGCAGAGGAAUGAGGAAGGGAUGGACAGGAUGAGAAAAAAGUAUGGAGAGCAGGGAAAGGGUCAUAAAGAGGAGAAGGUAGGACAAGGGCACAGCAGGCAAUGGCUGGACAGCUCAAGUACCCCAAUCCUUAGAGGACACUGUCACAGGAAAAGACAUUAUUAGAGAUUCUUUUUCCUUUCUAAAUUUCAGCCUAGAUACAAUAAGGAAUUGUCCAUGGUUCCUGGAUGCCACAAAACAGAAGUGGGGACCUGGAGUAAUUGGCCAGGAAAGGACAAGGAAGGCUCAUCCAGCAGAGCCCAGGGUGAAGGAAUGACACUAGUGUGAGGUCACUAUUCAUAAGCUACCAAAUGAAUACCCAGCUCCUCCUAAAGGCCUCUGCCCAUGCCCUUCACCUGUUGUGACUUUGGGCAUACUUUUCAGCCUAAUCCUCUGUGAUCCAGAGCAAGCAACCCCCCUGGCCAGAUUAGAAUCUUCAGGAGGCAUGAAUUCUAGGCUCAGCUCUGCUCCUAACUGUCCUUGUGGUGGCACAGUUACAUGCCCUGAAUAGGAGGGCACUGGACUAGUUGGGAUCCAAGGAACCUUUGACACCUGCUGCCAGACUGUGAUUCUCAGAGUGACUGAGGGUCCUCUUGGUCACAGAUAUAAUUCCCACAAUAUGAAGUCAACGUAAGGGAGUCACAGACACUUCCUGUGCUUUUCCAUAGUCACAUUCUUAAUCAUGAUCCUACCCACUGCCCCAUUCAUCUAGAAGGAAGUCAGGUAUGAUAUUGGGAUGUGUUAGGAAAAAAACCCAUUAAAGAUGCAAAUCCACAGGCAAGCGCCCUCUGAAAGCCUAUAGGUAAAAUCACCUUGUACUCUUCAGAAAGCACAGGACCUUGCAUAUUUGGAGGGCAGCAAGGUAAGGUUCAAAGGACAUGGAUAAGAUUAGGGCUCAUGUCAUCUGCUUUCUCUAGCCUGUUUUGCCACAAAUCAAAACUUUCAGUAAGUUGUACCUUCUCAGGUCCUUCAUUUGCAAAUCUAGGCCUAGCCAGACUAAGAUGGUGCCACAUUCACAUUCAGAGUUAUGAUUAUUAUCUGUUUAUUUCCCAGCAUUUUGAUUUCUAUUCCUUGACCUGACUUUUCUUCUUUCACUAUUCUCUUCUACACCAAUGUUUGUUUAUAAUUAGUCCCCCUAGUUUCCACCCUUAUUUUAGUUCCCUUUCUACCCCUCCCUUUUUAUUCCCCCACUUAUUUACCUGUAGUCUUUCUACAGGGAAUUGUCCACCCACCUUCUCCCUCCCUUGUACUGCUUCCCUCCCCACCAGUCCAUUUGUUAGCCUUCUACUCCUCCUAUAGAGUACAAAUCUAUUCUCUGCCCCAAUGGAUUCGAUAAGAGUUGAGUAUUUUCUAUCUCCAACCGCUUUACCCUUCCAGUGUAUUGAUGUUCUCCCCUCUCCUGCCAUGAUCUUCUUUGUGAAAUAUAAAUUAACCCCCAUUUGUUUCUUUUCCCAUUUCUUUUAGUAUUAACCUCUUUUUUAUCUCUAGUUAUAUCUAUCUACAUGUAUAUAUAUAUACACACACGUAUAUGUAUUUAUGCAUGCAUAUAUCUAUAUACCUAUUUAUGUCUUGUCCUUUCAUCCUAUACAGUUUGUCACUGUUCCCUCUAAGUGUAAUUCUUCUACAUGCCCAGGUGACAGCAACAGUUUUUAAGAGUUACCAAUGACCUCUUUUCUUAUAGGGAUACAUAUCAUUUUAAUUUAUUGAGUCUUUAAAAACUUUUUGUUGUUGUUUUAUUUUUCAUUUUCCCCUCUUUUUAAUUACCUUUUGAUGAUUCUCUUGAGUUCUGUGCUUGGACAAAUGGCUGAGGUUCAUUGUGGGCACAGAGAUAAUGCCUAGAAAAUGAAGCCAAGGUCAGGAUGACUCAGCGACCUCCUUUGCUUUUUCCAUGGUUACUUUCCUAAUCUUGUUCCCAUCCCUUUUCCCCUUGAUCUUGAAAGAAGCCAGGUAUGGGAGUGGUAUGAGUAAGGAAAAAACAACAUUGAGAUAACUUCAUAGGCAAGCCCUUCUGAAAGUAUUGGGUUAAAAUCAUGUUGGACUAUUUAGAAAGCACAAGUCCUUGAAUAUGUGGAAGGCAGCAAGGUGAGGUACAAAGGGCAUGGAUAGGAGUAGGACUCAUGUCAUCUGCUUUCACUAGCCUGUUUUGCCCCAAAUCAAAAGUUUCAGUAAGUUUUAACUUCUCUAUAGGCUUCAGAUUCUUCAUUUGCAAAGGCUGGCCUUGGCAGACUAAGAUGUUGAUAUAAGAAUCAGUGUUGCAAUCAAGACAAGAUUGGGAUUCAAAAGUUUGCUUCUGACACAAGCUGGCUUUGAGACUUUGCACUCAGGACUUCACUUCUCCCCAAAAUCUUCUGUUAGAAAAGAAAAACACAUAUGAUCAUCAGUCUAGACUGAGGGAUGAAAUCUCAGGUCAGGUCACUAAAGUCUGCAAAAAGUGAGGGCUGAUCUAGGUGAGAGCACAACAUUUUAUUUAAGGUCAAAUCCUAUCAACCUGAAGAUUCCUCAUUUUAUUUUUUCAGAUGAGGAAAAUUAGAGCCAGAAGGUCCAAGGUAUCCAUCUGCCCUGGGUCACAGAAACAAAGCUAUCAUUUUAACACAUGUUCUUUGACUUCCAAGGCAGCACACUGUUGUCAAGGGUAACAUCACUGUUUCUAAGAUUUUUGCAAUGAUGCCACUAAAUGUGAUGAUUGAAGGCAUAUUGAUAAAAGGGCAAUACGAUGAGAGGAAAGUAUUAGAACUGGAAAGGGGAAAGAAGAGGGAGGGAAGGAAGAAUAUAAAGGAAAUUUGAAAACUAGGAAGGGGAAGGAGUCAAUCCUAGAACCAUUCAUUGAAUAAUGGAGGUGAGCUCAGAUGCCAUCUAGUCCAACCAUUGCAUUUGACAGAAAAUGAAUUGUAGGGUAUAAAAAUUCAAUGUCUUGCUCAGGAUCACAAAGGGAAUAAGGUUUACAGAUCAGAUUUGGAUCCAGGGCCUCUAUCUCCCUAGGCUCUCUUCUAGGGAGUGAAAGUAACUUUCCCUGGAAAUGAGAAAUGAGAGGAACAAGGAUUCUGAGAAGAGAAGCUGGCAGAAGGAGGAGAGUGAAAACUGUGGCCAGACUAAGGGAAGAGGAUGAUGAGGAAGAGGUGAAGGGAGAAAUGUUUGAGAAGAGACUUUGGAGGCUGAGAAUGGAGAGGACAGAAGGGAAGAGGAAGGAGGAGAAGCAAUGAUGUAUUUGGAGAGAGAACUAAUGGUCUGAGAGAGGACGAAUGAAGGGUAGAGAAAUAGUUAAAAGGGGAAGGCAUAAAGAAGAAUUAGAGAGACAAAAGAGGGGCUGAGGUAAGGGAGAGGAAGGAGGAAGAAAAGGACAGGGAAUGAAAGGAAACUAGUAACAAGGUAAGACAAAGAUGGGAGACAUCUUCAGGACUCUGACCCCAACACUACACUGCCUUCCCUCCAGCUGUCCUUCCAUCCCCUGUGUUUUAAAGGAAGCAUCCUCUCUCCUCAGCUUAGUAUAUUCAAGAGUCAUGGGUUUUAGGGUGAGCUUUGUCAUUGGGCCCUUCACUAUAGCCCAGUUAACUCCUCUGGAAAAGAAGGGCUUGGACUAGUUGGGAUCUAAAGUACCCUUUGACUCUACUGACAGCCUAAGAGUGACUAAGGGGUCUGUCAAGGGAGAAAGAAAAUUCAGAGAUAAACAAGGCAAAGUCAGGAAGUCAUAGGGACCACAGAGCUUUUUUUCUUUUAUGGUGGCAUUCUUAAUCCCACCCAUUUUUUUCUAUCAAUCCUGAAGGAAGCCAUGUGUGAGGGUUGAAUGUGUCAGAAAAAAAUAUUUCAAAAAUCAAGCUCUACUGAAAGUCUGAAAAUGAUAUAUUUGUGUAAAGAGUACAAUUGCUUGGGUAUGUUGAAGGCAGUAUGGUGAGAUAUAAAGUGCAUAUAUCAAUUCCCAAUUUUGCAAAGAAACCACCUCAGUGAAGUUGCUCCUCAUCUCCUCAUGUCUCAAUUUCUUUAGUAUUUGCAAAGUUAGAGAUAUAGAGGCAGAAUAGCUUAUUUUAUAUAUAUAUAUAUAUAGUCUUGUAAUCAGGACAAAAAGAUUUUGAUUCAAAUUCUGCCUCUGAGAGCUGUGGUCAAGGGACUUAACCUUUCCUCUCCCGCUAAGUACUUUCUCAGAUUUGAAAUUAUCAAUAUUUUGUACAUCUGAACAGUUGAAGGGAAGAAAUCACCUGUCAGGUCCCUCACUUCGCAGCAAAAUAAUCAAUGGAAGCAAGGAAAGAGGAAGCUGAAGUAGAUGAUAUUUCUAAGGUUUAUCCUGUUUUGAAUCUUGUGAUUUUGAAGAUUGAUCAUUAUAAUUUUACAGAAGAGGGAACUGAAAAAGAAAGGUUUAAGCUCUUCCAGCUGUCUGGAGUUAUACAGACAUUAAGGGGUAAAGGCACAAUUUGAAUAGUUAGUUCCUAACUCCCAAAAUAGCAAAAUUUUGCCAAGGAGGACAUCUCUGGUUCCAGAUUCAAUGGAAGAAACACCAAUAUUGACAGGUUUGUAUUGGGGUGGAGAGAGGGAAGAGAGGAGAGAAAAGAGGAGAGAGAAAAGUAUGAGGGAGGGGAAGGGUGAGGAAUCUAUCAUAGGAUCAAACAUUUUGAGGCCGAAGGGUCCUCAGAGGCCAUCUAGUCCAACCCUCUUACUUGACAGAAAAGAAAAAUGAAGUCUCAGGAAGUUCAAGAUCACACAGGUAAUAAAAAUAAAAGAUGGGAUUGGAACCCAGGACCUCUGUCUCCCCAGGCUCAGUCCUUCCAUCAGAGAGGAGAGGGAGGAGGGAAAGUUUUGGGAAGAAGAGAGAGGAAGCUGGGGAAGGUGGUUUAGAGGAAUUGGAUGGAAGGACAGGAGGAGGAAGGGUAACAGUAGAGGAAGAAUCUUGUGGGACAUUGAGAAGAGAUGAGGAGAGGAAAGAGGAGGAAAUGAUGGGUUUCGAGAAAAAGGAAGAGUAUAAGGGAGUGAAAAAGGUGGGAAACUACAGAAAAGGGGAGGGCUAAAAAGGAUGUAGAGAGACAAUGGAGGCAAAGGAGAAAAAGAAGAGGGCAGAGUGGGAAAGAAGGGAGAGAGAGAAAAAGUGAAUCCUGGUAAAAUAGGCAAGAAUCUGGACAGUUCUGGAGCUCUGACUCCCAUACCACACUACCCCUAUGGGGAAGGGAGUGUUUUGAGCUUGUCUUUCCUCUCUGAGUUGCAGAGUGGGAAAAGUCAAGGUCAGCAUGAACAGGAGGGUGAUAAUCUGAAGACCCUGACCAGUUAAGUAAGGAGAAGGAAGGUUCAUCAAUCAAACACCAAGGUGAUGGGGUAGAAGUAGGGGGAAGGCUGUAUUUAGAAACACCUAUAUUAAACCCAUCCCAUACAAGGGGCUGUCCCCACCUACACUUCACAUGCUCUGACUCUAGGAACAUCUGCUCUCCUACCAGCUGUCCUCCCUCCAACUUGUGUUGUACAAGAGAGCCUCCCUGCACAAAAUACAAUAUUCAGGAGACCUGGGUUCUAAUGUCAGUUCUGCUUCUGUCACUAGACCCUUCCCUGUGGCUCAGUGUCCUCUCCUGUAAAAGGAGGUUUUGGAAUUAUUUGGAAUCUUAAGGACCCUUUAGCAAUUUUGAUAGCCUGUGAUUCUAGGUGUGGCUGAGGGUGAGCAGAGAUAAUCAAUACAAGGUCAAGAAGUCAUUGAAUCCAACUAGCUUUACUUUUUCCAUGAUCAUAUUCCUAUGUUUGAUCCUACCCAUUUUCGCCUAGAUCCUGAAGGAAGCCAGGAGUGAGAAUAGGAUGGAUAAAAAACCAAUCCAUUGGGAAAACAAAUCCAAGAUCUAUUGAAAGUGUAUUAGUAAAAUCAUUUUUGUCUAUCCAGAGCACACAAUUGCUUGUAUGUGCAGAAGGCAGAAUGGUGAGGAAGAAAGCGUGAAUGGGAUUAGAGUUCAUAGGUUCUGAUUUAAUUUCCCAAUUUUACCCCCCUAAACUUCCUAUGCGACUUCUAACAAGUUGCACCCCCUAAGCCUUGGUUUCUUUAUUUGCAAAGUCGGGGUACAAAGGCAGAAUAUGAUCCUGGAUAAAUUCACAGUCUUAUAAUCAAGACAAAAUCUGGAUUCAAAAGACUGCCUCUGACAUCUGUUGGCUUUGUGACCUUGGGCAAGGGACUAAACCUCUUACCUCCCUUAAGAUACUUUCUCAGUGUAAAUAACUAAUAUAUUGCAAAUUGGCAUAGGCUAAGGUAUGAAAUCUUAGGUCUGACACCUUCACUGCUCUAAAGAAAAAGUUCUCAAAUAAGAGAGUUGUACUAGAUUAGACUUCUAAGGUAUAUUUUAAAUACUAUAAUCUUGAUUUUUUUCAUUUUACAGAUGAAAAAACUGAGAGCUAGAAGGGGUCUCUAUCUGCCCCAAGACAUAUAAUUUAGUGUCAGAGCCCAAAUGAUACAAAUUCUCUCACUCUCAAGCUAGCACACUGUUUUCAAGAUCUGUAGAAUAAUUCCACUAGUGGUUACAGCAUAGGGGAGAGGGAGGGAAAAGGGGAAGAGAAAAUGUAGAAGAGAUAAGGAGGAAGGAAGAGGGUUAGAGAGGGGGGAAAGGUGAGAAGAAAGAGAAAAGGAAAGCAUAACGGAAGAGAAAGGGGGCCUUCAGAGGCCAUCUCGUCCACUCCUCUCAUGGGAUAGAAAAUGAAGCUGAAGCCCAGCAAAUUUCUGUGAUUUGCCUAGGAUCAUACUGGAAGUAAAGAGAAGAAAUGGGAUUUGAAUCCAGGUCCUCUGACUCCCAAAGCAAUGCUUUUUCCAUUCCAGGACUCUGUAUUCCCUUAUUUCUUAGAUGUGAAGUAAGGAAGAAAAGUGGUAGAGUGAAGGGAGGAGAGAGGAGGAAAGGAUAGUGUGAGAAAGGGGAGUAAACGGCAGGCAAUGGAAAAGGGUGGGGGAGAUGGAAGGGUGGAAAAGGAAGGGGAAGGACAUAAAUUUGUAGCUGGAAAGGAUCUCAGAGAUUCUUGUGAGCAGCCUUCUUGAUUUAUCGGCAAUGGAUGUAAAGCCCAGGAAAGUCAAGUGGCUUUGUUUGGGUUACACAAGGAGUCAAAGUGUCAAAAGAGUCAAAGUGAAGAUUUGAAUCUAGAUCUUGCUCCUGAGGUAUUGUUAUUCCUACUAAAGGCCUCUCUGUUCUCCAUCUCAUGGGGUUUGGGGAGAGAAGGAAAGGGUAGGAGGUGAUCAUAUCAGCAAGCAUUUGGAAGGGACCUUAAAGACCAUCUAAUCUAACUUUUUUCUCAUAGAGAAGAUGCCACUGAACUGAAUGCUAUGAAAAUUAAGUGACUUUCCCAAGAUGAUACAGGUAAUAAGAUGGGAUUUGAACCCAGGGUUCCAUGACAAGGGCUGCUACUCUUUUCACUACAGGAUUCAGCCUUCAUUCGGGAGAGAAAAUGGGGAAGGAAUGACGAAAGGGUAGAAAGAGGGAGAUUGGGGAAUAGGAGAAAAUAAGAUAGGGAAAGUAAAGAAAGAAUGAAGUGUAUUGAGGGAAGGAAGGAGAAAGAAAGGGUGGAGACAAGAAAAAAUGUUGAUGGGGUAUGGGAAGAGAAGAAAUAGAAGGGAAGGAAAACAAAGGAUGCAGGAGGAACAAAAGGAGGGUGAGGAAAGGGGAAAAAGAGCCAGGGACAAUGAGGAAGAGGACUAGAUGGAGCAGGGACUUACACUAGGAAAAUGUGGGAGAGGGGAGACAGGAGAAGAGGAAGGCUUCAGUCAGGGAGGCUGGACAGCUCCAGAGCUUGGUAGCUCCAGUUAGAAGUGGAGCACUGCUAAGAGGUUUCAUUCCAGCUUUGGAGGUUUAGAGCUGGAGACAAACUGCCUACUUCCUCUUCUUGGGUCCUUUGGCUACACUUUGUAUAGGCUGCUAGCAGGUGACUAGGUAAAGGUGUCUCAUUGCCCAAAAAACAGACCUUAAAAAUUAGAAUUCUGUCCAUAGCAGUACCUACACUCAAGAGAUGUUGUGAGGAUGAAAUGAAAUAAUAUUUGUAAAAGUUCUUAGCACAGUGCCUGGCUUAUAAACUCAUUAUAUUAUACUGCUUAUAAGCAGUAAAUGCUUAUUCCCUUUCUUUCAGCAUACUGUAGUAGAAAGAGAGCUGGCCUUAGAGUCAAGUAUAUCCAGGUCCAUUCCCUGCCUGUGACAUACCAGCUUUAGGAACAUGAGCAAGACAUUUACCCUUGAGUGUCCUAGGAACAAAGCUCACUAGUUAAAACCAGAAAUGAUAGAAAAUUGCUUGUCAUGUUUCUGUUAACUUACACAAAGAGUUCCCUGAACUGAUGAAAUUUUUAAAAGCCCAGUCCCACUUCUCAAUAAAAUAAAAUAAAUCAAAACAGUACUAAAAGUAAAAUAAUUAGGUGAUUAAGUUUUCAAGAAAAACAAAUGACAAGACACUAAGGACCAGUUCUGAACUAUUACCACUAACUGCUCGAUCCAAUUUGCAGAAUAGCUUUUGUCCCUCAAUUUGGAAAAAGGUUCUUUUUAACUUAGUUCAAAAGUGGGACUUGAAGUCAAUCCCCACUUUUUUGGGCUCCAGGACUACUGAAACAGCAAUUGGGACUCUUCCAGUAUUAUUAAUUAGCCUAAUUCUCCCAAUUCUAUAUCCACAACAUAGUCCUUCCAAGGAGAAAGAAAACCUCUAGUGAUACAUUCUUUCAUCAGCCCCAAGAGAUCUUACUUCUUUGACUUUAGGACAAGCUGAACUCUAGGUCACAGGUGGGUGAAUCAGCCCCUCUAGUAAAAAUAAUAAUGAAGAUUAUGUGAAGAACUCUUAUCAUGGAAACUUCCUCUUGUGGUGAUCAACUAACUGAUUCUCUUAGAGAAUUGUCUAUGGAAAAUGACAUAUUGAGUGACUUCCCCAUGAUCCCACAUCCAGCAGGUAUCUGAAACAGGAAAUGAACCCAAAGCCAGUACCUAGUCUCCACUUCAUCAAGUUGCCACUCAGACAGUGAACAGUGGAACACCAAUGAUUAACAGUCAACAAUAUCCAGAGACCUAGAAAGGGACCACGGGGCUCACCUCUGUACUGUUUUAGAUGACUUGGGAGCCUCUAAGGGAGGGAGCCAGAAUCCCUGCAAGUGAAGUCAUCAUAAGCAAAUAUGGGGAAGUGGGAAAGGAGAGGGACAUCAAGGGGAAAUAGAGAACAAAAAAGGAUGAUGUGGUCAAGCUGGGUCAAAGUGCUAACUAGGAACAGCUGGAAAAGUAGGAAAGUCAGAGGUGGAAUUAACAGAUCAAGACAUUUCAGGAGACAGUGGGAAGCAAGAUGGUGUGGUCUGCCAUGCUGUUUCAGAAACCUCAGUGCCCCUUAAAGCAGAACAGGGAGUGAGUACAUAGAUUAUUUUGGGGGGGGCAAUGCAGUGGAACUCAUAAAUCUAACAGUGGGAUAAAAUUAUCUAAGAUGAGAUAUAGAAUGGGAUAUAAUAUGGGAUGAUGAUCAUUAAGCACAAUCUGCUUUUUAGGAGUGAGGGGUGGGACUACAGCCAGUUUCUGGUAAAAGCUCUAAGGACAGAAAUUGAAGCAUGAGGAAGUCCAGUUUCACAAAAGGAAGACACUCCUUGACCUAGAAGAUGUUACCAAUGGAACAGCCAAGCCCCAAAAUUGCAGAUUAAGAAUGCAUUGAGUAGGGGAAGGAAGUAAAUGGCAUGGAGAUGGCCAAGAAGUUGUAGGAGGGGUCCUGAGUCUGGACAAGACCUGUCCUGAAAACAUACAUGAUUGAAAGGUGAGAGGAAUAUGGGCAAACUUAGAUUUAUGAAAACCUGACUUAAAACACCUUUACCUGCUCUACCUCUGGGCACUCUUGUCUUCCUACCAGUUUUUCUCCCUUCACAUGCUAAAAGAGCAAGCAGCCUCUUGCUCCAGUUUGGAAUAUUCUAGAGACCUGUAUCCUAGUGACAUUUCUCCUGUCACUGCUCCUACUUUGAGAUUCCACGUCCUCCCCUGUAAAAGUUAUUUAGAUGGUCUCUAAAGGAGUGGUCUCCAGAAUGGACCCGAGAUGACUCUGACCUGGCCUCAAAAGAAACAUGAUCAAAGAAUGGGAAGAUGAGUCACAUUUCAUUCUCAAAAUAAACAAUGGUGGAAUUCAUCUCUCAUACAAACAUACCUACUUUUGUUCCUUCAACAUUUCUCCACUCUGAGCCUUCCUACUAUACAGACUUCCAUUCUCCCCUGUUAUGGGCUGAAUGUUGUCCCUUCAAGACAACGAUGUGGCCCAGAUCUAGGCACUCACUUCCUCCCACAUAGCUGAUCUCUUUCCAAGGCCGGUGGAUUUCAACUCUGCAACAUUUCUCCAAUAUGUUCUUUUCUCUGAUGCUGCACUACCCUGGCAAAGGCCCUUAUCACUACAUAUCUGGACUACUACCCUGGAAAUGGGUCUACUUGUAUCAUUCCCAAUUCCAGUAUAUCAUUAAGCUGCCAAAACGAUUUUUUUCCUAGUGUGCAGGUCCAACUAUGUUAUUCCCCUAUUGCCCUCAGGAUUAAAUACAAAAUCAUCUGGACUUAAAAACCCUUCAUAACCUAUUUCCACCCCAUCCUUUCCAUUCAAUUUAGGGCCACUCCCUCAUGCACUCUUUUACCCAAUGACACCAGAUUACUGUUCUAGAAAGACACUUCAUCUCUCAAUUCCAGGCAUUUUCACUGACUCUCCAUGCCUAGAAUGCUCUUCUUUAACUACUACUACUACUGGCUUCCCAGGCUUAGCUAAAAUCACUUCUACAAGGAUCCUUUCUGAAUUACUCUUAAUUCUAGUGUCUUUCCUCUGUUGACUAUUGCCUAUUUAUUUGGAGAGGGCUUGUUUGUACAUAGUAGUUUUCAUAUCUCUCAAGGGCAGAGACUGUCUUUUGUUAUUUGUAUCUUCAGCAAUUAGCAUAGUUCCAGACACAUGGUUGGUAGUUGACUUUUCUAUUCAAAGAAGAUCAAAAUGAAAUCACUAUGUCAGGUUCAAUGUCCAUUGUGUCCAACCGGCUAACCAUACCAGUACCACCUUGGAAAGAUCUACCACAGGUCAGGUUGUGGUUCCCUACUAACUCCAUCAAAUAUUUCAUCUGUCACAUUUCUAAAUGUUUAUUUUGUUAGAAGUUUGAUAAUGGGUAUGAUUAUUGAUGCGAUAACACAUACCUAUACUUUAUAAAUAAGUAAAUAUAUACAUAUUGAAGGAUGGGAAUUCAUAACUACUUUAUUUUGAGAGAUACUCAAUUUUGGCUACACAUAUAUGCUUUACUCUCCCAUUAGUGCUUGCAUUGUGAACACCUCUACCUCUUCAGGUAAGUCUCUCCUGAUGUCAAGCUCAAUUAACCCAAGUAGGUCCAAAUACAUUGCCUUGGCCUAUCUGCCAUCCCAAAAUUUUGCUAGUGGAAUACAUAAUCAAAAUGUUUGGCUACUACUGUUUGAAGGACCCUUGAAAUUCUCACAUUUGCUGAAUCUGUAUCCUGAUUUUUAGUGUGUGAACUAUUUCACCUGUCCUGUGCUGCCAGGCCCCAGACUUGCCAUCUUGGAAUAUAUCAUCUCUCCUGUAUGUUUAAAGUAUCUCUAUAAUGGACUUCCCCCUCAUAACUCUCUAGAGUAGGGUUACAAGAUUCAGAGCUAGUUGUAGUCUUAGAGGUGAUCUACUGUAAAGAAUCUUCAUUUUACAAAGAAGGAAACAGGGCCAAAGAGAUAAAACUUGACCAAGGUCCCAUAGCUAGAAAGUGGCCAAGGAUUUGGACCCAAGUCUUCUGUGUCUAAUUCCAGUGCUUGCUUGAUUUUCUAUCCUACCUUCUUGUUUAUUUCUCUUACAGUCCAGUCUCCCUUUGUUCCCAAUAUAAGGCUGCUACUUCCUCGCUUAGCCAUAUUGUCUCAAGUGGGCCAUUCCCAGAAAUCCCACUUGGUGCCAGGCUAUGGAUAUUAGAAUGACUUUCUGAUCUUUUCAGAUGUAGAAGUUCUAUUAAUGCUGCUACUAUUUAUAAUUAAUAAGAAUAAUAGUAAUCACAAUACAUCUGAUAUUUUACAGAAUCCUAGAAUUUCAGAACUGCAAAAGAUCUUGGGUGCCACCUAGUUCAACUUACAGAUAAAUGGAAUCGCCACUAUAACAUAUUCAACAAAUGGUCAUAUAAUUCAUGUAUUAAAGGCCUCCAAAAUGUGGUAACCACUUCUUGAGGCAGCCUAUGCAACUUUUGGACAGCUCUAAUCGUAGGAAUUUUAUCCUGCUAUUAUACCUGAAUUUUUUUCUUAGCUUCUCCCACCCAUUGCCCAUUUCUAGGGCUAAGCAUAACACAUUAAAAUUUUCAAUCACAUGACAGACCUUCAAACAUUAAGAUCGCUCCCACGUCUCUCCUGAGUCUUCUCUAAACAUCUGCUGUACAUCUGGCCAAUAUUCAUAUGACAUAGCCUUGAAUCCUUUCCCUUAUUGUGAAAUUAUGAAACCUUCCUUUGAACACUCUCCAACUUAUCAAUGUCCUCAUUGAAUUAUAGCACCUAGAACUGAGCAAGAAACUGCAAAUGUGGUCUGUCUAGAGAAGAGCAGAGGAACUAUUUCCAACUUACCAGAAGCAAAAUGCCUCUCUUUGUGCCACCUAUGAUUGAUUUAGCUUUUGUGGAUGUCUCAUCACACUGAUGACUCAAAUGACAAUUACCUAAGCCUCUCUACUCUAGUAUUUGUGAAGCUGACUUUUUGAAUCUAAGUAUAAAACCUGACAGUUUUCUGUAUUGACUUGCAUUUUCCUAGAUUUCAGCUCAAUGCUCUAGUCCAUCAAGAUCUUUUGGGAUCCUGACUCUGCCAUACAGUAUGCUAACUAUCUUUCCCAGCUCAGUAUCAUUUGAAAAUUUUGUAAGCUUGCCAUCUAUGCCUUUUGUUAUCAAAGUCAAAUGAUAAAACUGUUAAAACAGCAAUAAGCCAAGCACAGAUCUCUGGAGCAUUCACCUGGUGAACUCUUACCAAAUUAACAUUGAGCCAUUAAAAACUACAUUUUUUAGUGCAUUAAUCCAUCAGUUACAAAUCUGCCUAGCUGAAUUAUAAUCUAAUUCAUUUCUCUCCAGCUUGUCCACAAGGAUAGCAUCUAAAAAUCCCUGAAUCUAUGAAUUUGGUAACACCAUAAAAAAAGGAAGUAAGGGUAGUCUGCCACUACUUUUGGCAAAACCAUGUGUUUAUUCUAUAAUCAUUACUCCUUCUCCUAGAUAGUCACUAACCAUAUCUUUUCUAUCCCAUUAUGGAAUUUCCCCUGGGGAAUCAAAGUCAAGGCCAAUGGCUUAUAGUUUGCAAACUUUACUCUUUUACCCUUCUUUGAAAAUUGGGACCUUCAUUCUUUUCUAGUCUUUGUGGUACCUUUCUAAUUUCCCCAGAUCUUUUACAUAUGGUUAAUAGUGUUCAGUGAUCAUUACUUCCAUUUUUCAGAUGAGGAAACUGCAAAAGCCCUUUUUACUCAAAUUACUUUGAUCACUGACUGCCAAAUCCAAAAAGGACCUCAGAGGUUAUCUACUUGGAUUUCUAUUUUCAAGAAGAAAAUGUGACCUUAGAGGUAGGACAACUUGUCCCUGUUCACAGAAUCAUAAAUGAGAGAACAGGAAUUCAAAACCAGGUGUUUUAACCACCUGUUCAGGCUCUUUGACCUUUCUCUUUCUGUGGUGCUACAGGCAACUCCUGGCAGUGAGGUUUGGGGUUAAAGUACUGAAAAGAUGCUGUAAAGAUGAGUGUACAUAAACAUCAUGCCUAUCCACAAAUCCCUAUCGAAAUGCCCAUGGCACUGGGCAUUAAGGUCUUAUCUGUAUGAUGCCAUUGUCUGUGCAAGUAGGCACAUAGUAAGAUCUUAAACUUUGCUUCCCUUGGCCUCAAUUUUCUCCUCUGUCAAAUGGGAAUAGAAACACCAUGUAAUUUACCUCACAGUCAUAGCAAGGGUCAAUUAAGUCAGCGUAUGAAGGGCUACAUCACUAAGUGUAGAGAAGCUCAUCACCAAACACUUGACUUUAGAGUGAUGAAGUUUCUAGCAAUUCUCAAUGAAUUGAGAGGUAGACAGGUAGAUCAAGGUUGCGAUUUGCCUUACUGCAAGAAAAGCAUAAUCCUUUAAGAUAAGGACAUAUUGGCAAUAUUAGUCAUAGCAAUCAUUGUUCUUCUACUUAUCCAAAUCACAUUAAUUCUUCAUGGCUCAGUGAAAACUUCUCUGACCAUUUCAGUACACACUGAUCACUCCCUCUUCUGAAAUCCUAUGCUGGCAGCAAAUGAUAAGCAGUUUAAAUACGAUUCUUCAUUCCUAUGUGUUUCUUGUCUCCCUACUAAGCUGUAAGGUCCUCAAGGGCAGUGCCUUUGGCUUGGACUUCUUUUAGCCUCCUCAGCACCUUGGGCAGGGAUGAGCAAAAAGUGGACAUUCAAUCAAUACAUGAUUGAUUCACUGACUGAUUGAUUGCCAGUGUCUGAUAAACAGAACAAUUCUUAUUUUUGAAUUGUCCUUUUGUGGACUAUUCCACUUUCCAAGGUUAUAGCUAAUUUCUCACUGAUUCAUUUGAGGUUGGCUGCCUUCUGAUGAUACCUAGGGAAGCACCUUAAUCUCUUCUAUGGCCCUAAUCCAAAUCACACUGCAGGAUAAUAAUAGCUGGCAUUUAUGCAGCGUUCUCCAUGUAUUAUCUCAUUGGAACUUUGCAAUAACCUUUGAGGUAGGUACUAGAAGGAUUACUAUCCCAACUUUACAGAUCAGGAAACUGAGGCCAGAGAAGUGAAAUAACUUGACCUUAAUGACAGGCAGAAACUACCUCCAUGUUUUUCUGACUCCAAAACCAGCUCUUUAAAACCUACAUUUACACUCUCUAGUAUAUGUUAUUUUUGAGAUGGUUUCCUCAAAUAGCUUAUCUCAUCCAUACUUCAAUGAUUCUUUCUUGACCAGCAGAUGCCAUCCUCUUAAGGUUUUCUUGUCUCAAUCAUUUCUUGUUCUAGAACAUAAAAUCACUUAACUUCAUAACUACAAGUGACUUUAGAGAUCAGCUAUUCAACUGCUUCAUUUUAUAACUGAGAAACCUGAGGAGGGUAGAGGUAAGAUGAAUGGCCCAAGAUCAAUAGCUGGUUAAUGGCAGAUCCAAGACUAGACUCUAGGUGUUCUGACUCUGCCCAAUCCAAUGUAUGUUUUGCCAUUCUGUUACAUCUUGAGCUCUUCUUGAUGCUGGGUAAUGAAAUAUCCACGGAUAUUUUGGCAAUACAAUAGGAUUUUAUAAUGAAACCAUACUUUGAUUGGGGUGUUAUUUUGAAAGAAAUCUCUUGAGUUUUCAUGGGCUCACAAACUCAACAGGAUUUUAUAGUGUAACAUUACAUCCCUAAAAUAUGAAGACUAAGGUUCAAAUCCCUCCUUCAACAAUUACUGUCCUGGGCAAGUUCUUUCACCUCUCUGCUUCUAAGUUUCAUUAUCUAUAAAAUGAGGAGGUUGUAAUAGAUGGUCUUUGUGGUCCAUGUGGUUAUGAUUCUUCAUUCCUUUGUUCUUGGAUGAAAUGAAGAUAUAGCAUCCAGAAUGAGAUACACUAUGCUGGAGAAAAAUUGUAUUAAACUGAAUGUAGUUAUCACGCUGGACUUGGAUUAAAAAAGAACUGAAUUUGGAUACUACCUUAUAUACUAGCUGUGUGACCAUAAGCAAAUCAUUUUACUUCUGUCUUCCUCAGUUUCCUCAUCAGGAAAAUACAAAUAAUAACCCCUUACAGGGUUGCUAACUUCUCUGAAUCUGUUUUCUCAUCUGAACUGAAUAUCUUCUAAAUUCUUAUCUCUAAGUCUAUGAUCUUUUAAGUAGUAAAUAGCAGAGUCAGGAUUAGAACCUGUGUCUUCUGAUUCCAAUACUAGCAUUCUUUUUAUUACAUCGUAUAGCUCCUUUCAUCCUGUGCAACAGAUUUUGAUGCACAGACUGACAUUACCAUCCUAAUCUGUUUGCUUAUGGUCAUCUGGAACAUUGUUAGACAAGAGGAAAAGAUGUUUCACUUUUAUCCCCCCUUUCUCUCCCUCCCCCCAAUAGAAGCAGCAAUGAUACAUUAUGUUCUGUGUUGACUUUCCUCCCUUAAGUCUCUGCAUUCUCCAGUUCAUCUUUCAUAUAUACAGCUACCAAGUGAUAUUCCUAAAGUAAAUUCUAACUGUGCCAUCUGCCUGCUCAAUAAAUUCCAAUGGAUCCCACCUGCCCCUAGCUAGGGAAAAAACCACAUCCCUCCAUUUAGCAUUUAAAGCCCUUCACAAUGUAGCUUUUGACUACUUCUCCAGGUUUACUGCAUCUUAUUCUCCUUUAUGCACUCUCCUUUUCAACCAAAUUGUUCUGAUUGCUGUUCACAAAAUAUUACAUUCCACUUCCCAUCUCUAUGCCUUUGUAAAGAGACCUCUAUACCUGAAAUGUUCUUCUCAACUAUCAGAUUAACUUCAUUUAUAGAUUCCUAGAAUCUCUGACCCCCUAAAACACUCAUAUCAAGGACCACCUCCUACACGAGGGUUUUCCUUAUUCCACCCCUAACCCCCUCUCCCAAUAAUGCCAUCCAUUUACAAAUUACUUCAUAUUUAUUUUGAAUUUACUCAUCCAUGUGCCUGUUGUUGCAUUCCAGUGGAAUGCAAGCUCCUUAAAGGCAAUAUUGGUAAUUUUUUUUAACUCUUUGCUCCAAGUGUUAAGUAUAAUACCCAACACUUAAGUGCUUGCAACUAGCUUAAAUAAUUAUGAAUAAUCCAAUAACAAAUAUUCUUUAUACUCUUACGUUCAUUUUUUGCUAUUUUACAACUGUCACUCAAGAAAGAGAAUGUAUCCACACUGAACUGAAGGGAUGUUUUGUACCUCUGUUCAAUUUGUGUUAUUCUAGUUAAAAGACAUUUUUUGGCAUCCCAUCUUCAAUUCUUGACCUGGCUGGCCCUCAACAGGAGACACAACUCUUUUGUAGUCCUGCACUUGUAGUUCUUCAUGCUUGGUAGGACCUGCUAGAGCACUGUGGCCUUUGAAACUCAAGAGUCACUGGAAGAAGAUCUUCAUAACAGCAUUAAAGAAAUGAUGACUUAACUAUUUCUUCCAUAUUUCAAUGAAUGGAGGGUAUCAGAGAUGUGGAUGCUCCCCCUAUGGAAAGAGAUUAUUACUCAUCCAUACUUUCUCAUCCUGUGCAACCCUUAUUCAUUUCCUUCCAUUAAUUCUCCAUAGGCCUCCACCUAAUAUUUGGGAGACUUUCUUCCAGGCCAAGUGAGAUUAUUAGAAUGGCAAUGAAAUAUAUGAUGAACUGUCCAUCUAUUAGUCCUCAUUCCUCAAAACAUAACUGGUUAGCCUCCUAUUCCAGUCAUAACUAUAUCAUAUUCUUUAUCCCAAUUGUUUACACUACACACCAUGUACAAAAGCACAUAGACCUUUGAUAAUCUUUGAAGAACUUGAUAAGAUCAUCAAAUCAUAGAGAACACAGAUGUUUUCCUCCCAUAGAAUAGUUCUAUAGAGUUCUGCAGGAGGGAGCUGAUAGCCUAAUAUCUAUGUAGGCAAGCCAAACACAAGAAAAUUAAAUUAGUUGUCUUUUGAUAGAAAAAAGGGAUUAUUUUCAGGAAUAUGAUAAAACUACUCUCUAAGGAGAACAUGAUUGCUUGCAAUAUAACCAGUCACAAGAUGUAUUGAUAAUACUCCAAGCCAAUCUAUCUGAAAUAACAUUUAUUAAAUAUAAAGUUGCUUAUGUGUACAGGAGGGAGACUGAGGUUCAGUAUUUCUUUUUUUUUUUUUGUACUUCAGCAAUAAGCCUUCAUUUUAGAAACAUGCUUUCCUUAUCUAAGUUUUAGAGAGGAAAAAUCUAUGUUUGCCAUUCUCUAUGUCAGCAUAGUCAUAAACCUCCAAAUUGGGGCCUCCAAAUUGAUUUUCAUUCAUUCCAUGCUGCAGGCAUUACUGUUAAUGAAGUUGCCAGGUCUGUUGAGAUUUUGAAGAUUUAUUUGUUAGACUGAGCAUAAUGUCAAGACAAAGAGUUAUUAGUUGUUCAACUCUUGACAGUUUUAUUCAUGGAGUUGAAUCCUGAAAUUUAGGGAAGCUUAGCUCAUUCAAUACAUCACCUUUGAAACUUAGGUAAGCACUCUCUGCAAAGUUCAUUUGAAUGGGAACAACUUCACAUAAUAUGCAAUUAUCCUCAGAUCACUAUCAUGAGAUCACAUUGGAAAGAGACUGUUCCACAUGUUCUGUCCAAACAGCCUGGGCACUUGGCAUUUCACACUUGCCCAGUUGAGCUAUGACAACUAAUAUACUGUUGAUUUUCAUGAAAUGUGCUAUACAGUUCUCAGGGUACACCUCAAUUUCAUAAAGAUUUAAUCCUACUACAUGUUGUUUUCAUAUCGCAGUUAUUUCUGGAAAUAGCUGCCCCAACUACCCCCUUGGGAACUGAGGUUUGUCUUGUGAAAAAAAAAAAGCAAAACCACUUAAUUGAAUCAGUUAGGUGGCAACAUGGAUAGAAUGCUGGACCUGGUGUCAGGAAAACUGGAAUGUGAAUCCAGCUUCAGACACCUACUAGCUGUGUGACUUUGGGCAAGGCAUGUAAUCUCUGCUUCCUUUUCCUUUGAUAUAAAAUAGGGAUAAUAACUUCCAGGAAUUGUUAUAAAAAUCAGAUGAGAUUUAUAAAGUGCUUAGCACAAUGCCUAGCACAAAGUAGAUGCUCCAUAAAUGGAUAUUUCCUUCCUUCAGACAGUGGCUAUCUCUGACAAUGUAUAUAGCAGUGAUGGUGAACCUAUGGCAUGGGUGCCAAAGUUGGCAUACAGCUUGCUCUCUGUGGGCAUGUGGCCACUCCCCCCACCCAAGAUUUCAUUACUAGAAAGGCAGGAGGACUCAGGUGGAGUUGCUCCUCUCUCCUCCACAGUACAUGAGAAUGUUUUUUUCACACCCCCUGCCCCUGUGCCUAGCAGCCCAAUGGGAGAGCACAGGGAGUAAGGUGGGUGACUCACAGGCAGUAGAGUUGGAGGAGAGCAGAGUGCUCAGACCACUCCCCUCCCACUCUCUACACUUGGCGAGGACAUUCCUCACUUCACCCACCCCUUCUCCCAGCAGCCCAAUGGGAACACUCUUCUCCCUCCCCUGUGUCUAUGUGUGUGUGUGGGGGGCAUGCCUAGCACUCACAGUGGGAAGGGGCACAGCACUCCAUCUCCAAAAGGUUCGCUAUCACUGGUAUAUAGCAUUCUGUCCCUGUAGUUCACUUCUCUGCAAAAAUGUUCUUAGCUCCAGUUGGUGCGACAGUUCAUUAUCUUGAAACAAAAUGGCAGUGGCUAAGUCUUCAAGGGUGAAUUAUUUUGGUUAUUUUUUAUGGACCUCACCCAAAUUUGUUCUGUGAUUAGACAUUAGAGAAACACCAACAUACUGGGUGAAGGUUCCAGGCCACAGAAACUCUACCUAAAAAAUGGACUGUGGGGUAUGGGAGGGCAGUGUUCCACAGACAGCUCUGGACCGAGUUGAAAGUUUUUUUAACCUAUAGCCAAUAUAUCCAUGACUUUUUUAAGAUUGAUUUUACUGUUGAAAUCUGGCAAAAUAGAUAAAGCUGGUUUGCAGUGUCUAUGUAUGUAUGUGUGGACAGCCUAUUAUGAACUAACUGUUCUAGCUAAAUUGUUUACAAAUGCAACCUAAGGAAAUAAAGGAGCCCUCCUAUAGGAAAAUGGUUUGGAGUUCAAUUUGCUUAUCAGGAGAAGUGAACCCCAAUGAAGAAACUUUAAGUCUAAGCAAGGGGAAAAAAGAAAAAAGAAUUCCAUGGUAGUCAGAUAUAAAAAUGCUACCUAGAAGAGGAGAGCUUCGUCUCCAUUCCACCUUUACCAAAAAUCUUUCCUCCUCCUUUCUAUAUGCAAUGGUUUUUUUUUCCACUCCUCCCUACUCUCUCACACAAAUGUCAGUCACGUCUAUCCCUUCUCUGUUCAUGCCUUCUCUUUGUGAAUGUGUCAUACAAGUGAUGACUGGGAUUUAAGAGAACUGAGUUCCCCUUACCUAAGAUCAUUUCCUCAUUUUUUUUCUGAACAAAGAUUUACAUAUUUGCUAUUGAGCUAAAAUGUUCCUAGUGUAAUCAGUGUAGCUAUUAAUCCUGUGUACUCAAUAAGUACACUUUUGCUUUUUUUCCCAGGAGAGACCUGAGUGAGGGUUAGGAGGAAUGUAUUAAGUGGGCAUAGUCUGCUUGGAUAUAUUAUUGCUAAGUCGCAACAGAUCCUAAAUUCAUGAGCUCCUUCAGAUAUUUUUAUAUAGAAUAUAUAUGUAAAGAAGCUUAUUAACAAGUUAUAAUGGGACUGAACCCCCACUUAACCCUUUCCCCAGCUUAGUGGAAAAUGAAAUGGGCUUUGGGCCAUUCUUUUUUAGAGUUGUAUUAGAGCACUGGAAUCAGGAAGACUUGAGUUUAAAUCUGAACUCACUCACUACAGGGUCAUAUCACUCUAAGGAAAGAAUUUAAUCUAUUUGCCUCCAUUUCCUCAAAUAUAAAAUGGGAAUCAAAAUAUCACCCACUUCACAGAGUUUUUCUGAGGACCAGAUAAGAUAAUAUUUGUAAAGGGCUUAGCACGAUUUUAGGCACACAUGAGUUUAAUGUCUAUUCCUUCCCUCCUUCCUCCUACAUAUGGGUUGAACUAAAUGGGUGGUGAGGAUCUUUCAAACAUCAAAUUUCUGUGAUGCUAUGAUUCUGACAUUUCUAGGAUCAAGUGGUCCAGAAAACUACAAGGGAAAGGCUUUCGAUCCUGGUUCUUUUGUAUACCCAGGUAUCAUUUCUCAGCUCCACAGCUCAUUCUAGCAAAUGGAUAGAAGGUAAGUGGGAAUGAAGGCAGGAAUCGAGGGAAUAGGAAUGAUUCUCAUUUUUGAGACAAGUUGUCCCCAGGGCCUGUAGGUGGUUUCCCAGAUCAUGUCAUUCUUGCCUUUGAAAGACAUAAAUUGUUUUUAUGGUGUCAGUAAAACCCAAAGAACACUGGCCAGGGAGGUGAGAGAUGGCUUCUAUCCUAGGUCUGGCCAAACUCACUAACUUCAAGCAAGUACUAUAAAAUGACAAAGUUGAAUUUUCCAGUUUCUAAAGUUCUUUCAAAGUUUUGACAUUCGAUAUUUCUGUUAAUGCCUUUAAAAAACUGGCAUAACUGUAUAUUUUUGACAAACUUUGGUUAGAUUCCUUUUGGUUUACAUUGUUGACACAUGGUUUAAAUUUACAUAAUUUAAAUGUGAUUUAGUCAAUUGAUCAUAAUAGCUCAAUUAGAACUGUUCAAGAACAAACAUGUCAAGACUUACUGUACUCCUUGGUAAUUGGAUGAUCAAAUGGCUAAUGAAGCUUGGGACUGUCAAACCAAUGCUGACUGUCAAACCAAAGCACUGUAUUCUUUGAUUUUUCUGUGAAGGUUAAUAGCAUCCAUCUACUUUAUAAAACUUGGCUCCUUAAGGUUUGGAAACAAUGCAGUUACUGAAUUUUCAAGGUGUUUGCUCCUUGAUGUUGGAGGAUUCCAGAGUUCUCCUCUAUGCUCUUUCUCUUCACCUCUUUCACAUGCCAUCUUUCCUGAUCCUCAUGGCUACUAUUGAUGCUUUUACCCCCAAAUUACCUUGAAUAUAUUUUGUACAUGUGCUCCCCCCCUAUCUUUGCCCACUGUAAACUCCUGGUGGUCAUAGAUUGUUUUAUUGGUGUCUAACAUACAGCAGAGAAUGAAAAAAUGCUUUUGACUGUUGAGGCUGAUGAUGAUGAUUUUCAAGGAUAAAGGGGUAAAUAUCUAAUAAUUGGCUAGGGCUCCGGGCAGGGGGUGGAUGAAUGUAUGCACAACACACUUUUAAGCUUAAUUUGCAUUAGUACCAGUUUCCCCAAGUCUAGAAAUCAACAAAACAAUAGAUUGGAUCAAGCAUUGAUUUGUGGCAUUUGUUGAGGUGUAAAUAGUCACACUAAAAAUUUAACAAUUGGCUCUUGACAUUCUCCAUGAUCCAUUCUGGCUACAGCACAUCCCUGAAUUGAUUUCUGUUUAUUUGAAGAAAAGUUUCCAGUGGGAAUAUAUAAUGUCCUUAGCUCCCUUCUAAGCUCAGCUCAAGGGCCACGGCCUUUCCCGACUCCCUCACUUGUUUUUACCCCACACUUCUAACUUGUAGCAUGAAAUAAAAAUAUAAAAUGUUUAUUUACUCUAUAUUUGUAUACACUGUUCUUCCCAGUAGAAUGCAGGCUCAUUGAGGGAACAUUCAAUAUCAAACCAGCAAGUAGUUAGUGCAGGUUUGUUGAAUUAAACAAAUGGAAAUGGAAAAGAAUUUGAUAACUGGAAAUGAAAUUACCUAGGUGGAAAUGAGGCUGGUUGUUAUGAGGGACAGAGAUGAAGUAAAAAGAAUGUCCUGCAGGGAAUCAGAAGAAUAAGUUUCCAGGCCUGCUUGUUAUGCUAGGUAAGGAUGUGACACUCAUUUAAAUUCUUUGGGCCUUAUUUUCCUUAUAAAGAAGAUGAAUAGGCUAGAAGAUUAUACAAUUAGAUGUGUUUAGAAAGGAUCAAAUGACUUUCACUGUCUCUUACUCCUCAUUCCACCUAAGUUCUCACACCUAGUCAGAAGCAACCCUCGACUUCACAGAAGGUCAGAUCCCGAAAUCCUGGUGCUGUGAAGACAGGAUUCUAAAUUUCUAAUUGGAAGGGACCUUAGGGCUCAUCUAGUACAACUAUUUCAUUUUACAGAUCAGGAAACUGGGGCUGAGAAAGGUAAAAAGCCAAAGGGAACUCAAAUCCUCUGACACCAUCUCUAUUACACUGCAGACACUAAGAGUCUAGGGAAUUUCCUAACAGUAAUCCCAGACCCUGUGCUUUUUAACUUGAUUUGAUUUUUUUUAAUGAAUGACUUCAAGCAAUGACAAAGUAACUGCUUGUUGGAGAUGUCAGAGAAGAUUCUUGUUCACAUAUGAGUUGUACUAGAGGCCUCUGAAUUCCCUUCUAACUCUUCAAUUCUGUGAUUCUGUGACUUGAUAAAAGCCACAGGUGUUAUGUUUUUCACAUGUGCAGAUGACAGGAGGCCAAGGGAAAUGUCUAACAGGUUGGAUGACAGAGGGGUAAGAUCCAAAAAAAUCUCAAUAGGCUAAAGCAAUAAACCAAAAUCAUAUAAGAUAAAAUUCAAUACAGAUAAUUUCAAGUCCCACAUUUCAGUUAAAAGUCAACUUUGCAAGUAUAAUAUAGGUGAAUCAUGGUCUUUUUCAUAUACAAAAAGAUAUAAGGGUUUUGGUGAACUGCAACUUCAGUAAGAGUGAGCAGUGGAUCAUGUGAAAAAAUAUUGUAUUCCUAGACUUAGUUGAGAGGCAUAAUGUUUAGUGUGAUGGUGAUGACAGACCCAUUGUCAGCUACCCUACUCAGACCAUAUUCAGAGUAUAAUAUUUAGUUCUGGAUAUCACAUCUUGGGAAGAUUAUUAAAGUUUUGUUGGUUGAGGGAGUUUCUGCACUGAGAAUCAUACGUCACUGACAUAUUUAUAAAGGUGGUUCAUUCCAAGAAGAGUACAAAAAGGUUAGUAAAGGAACCAAGGAUCAUGAAAGAAAGAUGUAGCAGUCCACACCUAUCUAGGGACAAGGGAAACAGAAUAUACCUAGUGGCUUAGAAGAGAGUAUGCUCAGUCUUGAGCAUGGCCAGGAAAGCCUCUGACCCUUGACCCCAGCUUCCCCCAGGUUAGGCGGGAAAACAGGUUUCUUUGUGUUCACCUGCUAAGAGACACCACACCUAUACCUUGUCAUUAACCAAUGAUAAUCAUCCCUAUGUAUUGUGUAUAUUUGCAUAUCAAAGAGAUUAAAUCCAGGGCCGCAGCAAGCUCCACCCCCUCUUCCUCUCUUGGAUCUCAGCUCUCACUGAUGUCUGUCCUUGCUGGAGCUUGGCCUCAAGCUCCAUCUUUAAUUCCUUUCCUCCUCUAUCUCUCUCACCUGGGUCCUGGCCUUCAGCCAGGUGUCUCUUUCUUUCCCAAUGCUAAUACCUAGCAUUCUCUAAUUCUCUCUAUUAGUCUCUAUUCAUUCUCUUAGCUGAGCUAUAUCAUCCUCUGACCGGUGAAGUGUUAAAUUGGGAUCUCUGGACGGAAUAUAGCCUUUCAGUGACGUCCAUUGAUUGGGGCAUGGCUGCGGCUCCAAGAUAUUAAUGAUAACUGAUCUCUGACUCAUUAUUGACUUCUCAAAUUUGGCUCCCUCACGCCCUUCGCAGCAUCCAGAACUUCUAUCCUUUUCUAUCUUCCUACCUUAAGGCUUCUUGUGGGUUUGGAAAGCCUUAAAAGAUAUAUUGAAAGAACUGAGUAUCUCUGGCCUAAAGAUGGGAAGACUUGUAGGAACAUAAUAGACAUCUUCAAAUAUCCGAGAAACUAUCAUGUAAAAGAUGGUUUAUAUGUGUUCUUACUGGUUCCAAGAAGCAAAACUAAGAGUAAUGGUUAAGGGGAUGGAGUUGGGGGGAUCAUGCAGCUAGAAAGUAUCAGGUUUGAAACCACAUUGGAUUGUAAGUUCCUUGAGUGAAGUGACUGUUUUUGUCUUUCGCUGUAUCUCCAGUACUUAGCACAGUGUCUGGUAUGGCCUUAAUAGUAGGACCUUGAUAAAUGCCUGUUCACUUGACAAUUCUUGCUGACUCCAAGUCCAGAAUUCUAUCCACUUUAUCAUCCUGUUUCUAUCAGCAUUGCCUAAAUUGCCUGAUAAUUAACCUAUUACUAAGCAAUAACUGGUUUCUAAAAAGUAACUUAUCACAAUAUUCACUGCUAGUUGGACUAUAGACUUGCCUUGAAAGGUGUAUUAACUCAUUUAGGUCCAUAGAUACCACUCAGUGCAUUGAUCAAUAAUUUUCUAAAUGUUACCUGAGGGAAUAUAGAAGAAUGUCUUAAUUUUUGCAUCCUUCAAUGAUUCCCAAGACUCUCAUUAUUCUAAACAUAUACAUGUGUUUAUGUAUGCCUACAUAUAUAUAUACAUAUAUAUAUAUAAUAUGCACUAGUGUUCUUAUUGUUAAUAUUCUGAGCAGCAUUCCCCAUUGAUGAUCAAUCAAGGCUCUAAUGCACUGUACUUCUUGCCAAACUUUACCAGUUUUGGAGUCUAAUUCCAUUUCUCCCUACAUCUUUUAAUUAGCUACAGAGUAAUUUCUUUUGUGGUUAGAGUGUGUUCUUUCUGGAUGACAGAGUUGUCCUCUAUGUAACCUAACUAAAGGUAUGCAUUUGGAUGUAUUAGCUAUCCAGCAGAUGUCCAAGCCAAUAAAGUUCCCCAGGAGUACAGUAUCCUGAGGUUUAAACUACUUUACCUUGAGAAAUGGAUGGAGGUUUGUUCUCACUUGCCAGAGCCCCACAGGGCAGCUGCAUGUGAAGUGCACACAAAUGUGACCCACACUCCUAACUAUGGAGCAAACUGUUAUGUCUGUCAUUGUUUCAAACAAUGGGGAAAUUUACUUUCCCCACAUGAAAAGAAACUUUAUUUUCUUCCUCUUGACAUCAGUUAUCACUACAUACAGGCUGAAUUCACUGGACUCAUCCUUUCUGAGUUAUUCGCAAACACAUGAAUGAUUUUAUAUCCUGUUCAAGAAUUUCACCACUUCUUUAUGUCAUUUUCUUAUACAGUAAUCUGAACCUACCAUGAAUGUUCUAUUCACACACUCAACUCAUUAACAAAGAGUACAGAAAUCACUGCUAUGCAGACUGUCAAGAAAUAUGGUAAGAGAUAAUUCAUAUAUUAAUGCAUUAGUGGCACAAAAAUAUUUUUAAAAAACUAAAGCAAGACCUCUAGGAUGUUAAAUGGCCCCUCUAUGAAGAAUACCCAGAAGGAACAUGUUCAAAAAUCUCAAAAACUAUGGUGGCCCAAAGACAUAACCUCUACCAGUGAAGGAACAACCAAUAUUGAUGAGAUCAAGUUCAAAGAUUACAAGUCACUUUCAAUAUUGCCUUUUUUUAGGCAAAACUAAUUCUAUAUUAAAAUAUGAGAUUAGUGUAACAUGCUUUUCUUUACUUCCUCUGGUUCAGGACCAUUAUCUUUAGAGUUCUCAUGUACCCCAAGAGAUUUGUGAGUGUAUCUUCUUUCUAUUACCAUUGUCUCAAGCCCCUAACAGAUGGGUUCCCCCAUUUACAGGGGCCUAUUAUUAUCACCUGUUUGGCCGAAGCAGUCUUCACAUGCUGGGUGAGCAAAGCCUUAGUUCACCAGGGGUCUACGACAUGAUGGCUACCCUCACAAGGUUUAGUCUACCCCAUACUUUUGUUCUGCCUUGGAAACAAUAUGCAAUAUUGAUACUAAGAUGGAAGGGUUUUUAAAAAAUGUAGUGUCCAUAUUUAACCCAGUACUCCAGACGUGCUCUGCCCUCCCCAUUCUGGACACUAUGCUUAAUUAUUUUUAAACCCUUACCUUCCGUCUUGGAGUCAAUACUGUGUAUUGGCUCCAAGCCAGAAGAGUGAUAAGGGCUAGGCCAUGGGGGUCAAGUGACUUGCCCAGGGUCACACAGAUGGGAAGAGUCUGAGGCCAGAUUGGAACCUAGGACCUCCAGUCUCUGGGCCUGGCUCCCAAUCCACUGUGAUACCCAGCUCCCCACUAUGCUUAAUCUUAAUGCUUCUCUACUGUUGACUCAAAUGAGGGUCCACUGAAAGUCAUCUAUCAGAUGAGCUAUUUGGUCAUCCCUCUCAAAUUUUGUGUGUAUAACAUUAAUUUUUAAACACAUAACAAGAUUUAACAUUUCUCCCUAUUAAAUUUCAUCUCAUUAGCCUAACUGAUCCCUAAAGCACUAUACUAGGGACCUCCUUGCAACUUAAAGCUGUAGUUCAAUCAUUCAGUCAUGUCUGACUCAGCAUGAUCCAAUGGGCCAUAGCAUAUAUUAUCUACAGGGUUUUCUUGGCAAAAAUACUGUAGUGGUUUGCCCUUUCUUUUUCCAGGGCAUUAAGGCAAAUGGAGGUUAAGUGAUUUGCCCAGGGUCACAUAGCUAUAAGUUUCUGAGGCUGGAUUUGAAUUCAGGUCUUCUUCACUCCAGGCCUAAUACUCUAUCCCUCGGUGUAUCACCUAGCAGCCUGAGUUGACAUAGGACCAUUAAUGACUAAUCUUUCAGCUUGUACAAUGAAUUAGUUCUAAUUACACCUAAUUGUACCACUGCCUAACUCACACCUACCAUCUUUUCCAUAAACACAGCAUGUUAAAAUCCAGGUAAACUAUAUGUAUAAUAUUCUUCAGCCUUGUAACCUUAUCAAAAAUGAGUUUAGCUAUAGUUGAACAUGUUUUAUCCAACACGAACAUUUGCUAGCACUUUGUAAUCACCCUAGGUAUAGGGUUGGAAACCACCAAUGUUGUACUAACUGGGGGCUUAUGGAGUUCAAAGAGUCUCUGCAGCAACUAGCAACUGCAGCUACCUUCAUAGGAUCAUAGAAUCUUAGCUGGCCUUGUAGUUAUACUCUGGCCUCAGAUCCUAACCAUUUCACAAAAGCAUCCCUAACAGAGGCUCUGUUCCCAUAAAAUGGAAUUUGGGGAAACAGAAUAUUUAAAGACAGAUGACCUAGGUUCAAAUCUUGGCUCUGAUAUUUGCCAUCUGUAUGACCUUCGGCAAUUCACUUAAUAUCUGUGGACCUCAGUUUCACCAUUUGUGAAAUGGGAGUUUGGAUUAUAUAACCUCUAAAAUCCCUUGUAUCUCUAAAUUCUAUGACCUUCAGCAACAGUGACAUCUCCCUGUCUCCAAAGGCAAUAUAUCUCAUUUCUUUCUCUCAGUUUUGGAUUAGAGGUAGUAGGUAUUCUAAAGAUUAUCUUGUCUUAUUGUUUUUAUAGAGGAGAAAACUAGGUGGUACAGUGGAUAGAGUCCUGGGUCUGGAGUAAGGAAGACUCAUCUUCCUGAGUUUAAAUCUGGCUUCAGACAUUGACUAGUUGUGCGAUCCUGUGUGACUUCGUCCUAUUUACCUCAGUUUCCUCCUCUGUAAAAUGAGCUGGAGAAGAAAAUGGCAAACCACUCUAGUGUCUCUUCCAAAAAACAAAUACUAAACGGGGUCAUGAAAAUUGGAUAUGACCAAAAAUUAUGGAACAACAAAAAUAAGUAUUAUCAUUAUUAAAUGGUAUAGAGAUGAUGUCACCUUGGAAUACAUGGCUGACCAAUGUGCAUGUUCUUCCUAUUACCUCAAAGUAACUUAUUUCCCAUACUACUUUGGGGGAGAGAACAGAAAAAUGAAGGGCAGUGUGGUUAAUUUGGUAACUGACUUAAUAUUUUGUAGCUUUACUGAUAUCUGCCUGAUUAAAUGUUUUACUCUUUUAAUGUUAUUCCUUGGCUGGUCACCUAACCUGGGAAGCAACUGAAUAGGUAGGUCUAAAUUGACUUUAGGAGUUCUGAAUUUUCCACCAGGGUGGGACAAAUGGAUCACUGGUAAAUUUCCAUUUAAAAUCUCAAUAAUUUGGAAUCCAAGUCCGUGUAUACAUAGUUAUAAGUUCACUUAACUUAAAAUUAAACUUUCACGUUAGUUGUGAAUUGAGCUUGCUCAGAUACCAUGUAUGUGUCCUAUAAAUAAAGCCUCACUUCCUAUGUUAGAAUCAUGACCAUAUUUCUUUGUAUCUUGUAUAGCUGGAGCUGCCAAAUUCAUUAUGCAUGGUGUGGCAUUAAAUAUGUGAUCUCAGCAGACAAACAGAAACCAUAAUUGAUCCUUUAUAUAGCUCUUUACAUUUGGCAUUUUACAAUUCAGAGAUGAUACUCUGCCAUACUCAAGAGCCAUUGUGAUCAGCUCAUCCAGAUGCUUUUGAGUUAUGUGACAAUUCUAUACUGCCAGUAGGAAACCAAUGCUGAAUGCAUAGAAGGCCAGACGGAUGGAUGAAAACUGAAUAAUUCACUUACUUGUCCAGAUGCUUCUAAACAUCCUAGAAACUGAAUGGAGCCAUUGGGCUUCCAAAUUCCUAGUCCCAAGUUUCAGUGAAGCCUCGCUGCCUUUCAGUCAGUUCUAUGAAGUCAACAACCUUCUAAAUAUAUUCUUGUUAAGAGUUUACUUCACUAGACCUGAAGCCACAUUAGAAUAGAUUCUGUUGAGAAUAUAAUCUCUAUGGAUAGGAAAAUAGAAAAAUCACUUUCAUGCAAGCUGCAGAGUUUCUUUGCCCAACCCACCACACACCUAUUUUUUAUCACUAGAAGGAAAGAGAUAUUUACUAAGCUCUAUCUGGACUGUUUGCCAAACUGGGGCUGAAUGCAAGAAACAGUAAAGUUUCAACUUGGUGAGCACUUGAAUUUAGGGGUGGCAUUUGAAACCAAAACAAUAACUGUCCCAUAUUACUUUCACUCAAUGAAGCAGUGAAUCUCUGCAUUUUUGUUGUUGCUGCUGCAAAAUGUCAUUAUAGGAUGGCUUUUGAUGCCCAAGCCAAAUUUUCAAAUCAAACAUCUCAGCUCUGCAAAUCUCGAUGGGUCAUUUUCAAGUACAUAUGAGGAAAAGGGCGUGAACCAGAGACAUCUGGGAGUGGAGCCAAGAUAGCUAACAUGAGAAUCCUCUCAGACCAAUAUUGAAAUAUCACACAAAAACAAGAAUGAAAGAAUCAACAAAGAGACAGAGUGAAAUAACUUUCAAGAAAAGAAAUACCUAAAAGGUAGGCAAAGAACAUCUGAGGCAUUUGGGUGAGAGGAGAUCAGAGCCAGCAAGAACAUGUAGCAAGGAUGGAAGAGCAAGCCAAGAGCAAGUCACAUACUCUCACCCCACAUCUGCUGUCCAAGUUUCAGAACCUAAGCACAAACCAACAUCCAGACCCUGAGAUCCCACCUGGGAAAAUAAUGAUACAAACUAGCCCAUACCCCUUGAAAUUUCAAACAUGUGGAGAAAUAAGGAGCCCCAAUCCAGGGAAUUCUACUCUUGGCUUGGGGUAAGGACAUAGUUCACACUUUGGGGAGGGGAGGGAACUGAUAGCACUAAGUGUUAAGUACUGACCUUUUUGACUAAAGCUCAAGGCAUACCUCGAGGAUAGGACAAUCGAGGUUGUGUCUGAUUAGAUCAAGUACACAGUGAAACCAAAAACUUGAGUCUAAGCCUGGGGCUAGAAUCUGCUCAGCCCCUGACCUGAUCAAGAUCAGAGUGAGAUAAAAAGCUUAUACCUAAGCCUGAGGCAAGUCUUUAAGGUAUCAGCAUCUCAGGGGGCAACUGAAUAAGGAGGUAGAGGGGGCUCACAGAGCUCUCAGUCCUCAGAUCAUCACAUCAUCCACCCAAGCCUACCUAUAAUUAGAUAGGAAAAAUGAGCAAACAACAAAAAAGCAUCUAACUCUAAAGAAUUUUUAUGGAGACAGAGUAAGGUAUAGACACAGAAGGGGACAGUGAAAGCAAAGGAAAAACACACAAAGUCCAAAAGAAAAAUAUGAAAUGGACACAGAUUCUGGAAGAACUCAAAAAAGACUUCAAAAACCAAUUAAGAGAGGCAGAGUAAAAGUGGGGAAGAGAAAUGAAAGUGAUGCAAGAAGAAACAGGGCAAUUGAAAAAGGAGAAUCAAAAACUGUCAGAGGAAAAUCAGGCCUUAAAAAUCACAACUGACCAUACAGAAACUAAUGAUUUCAUGAGAAAUCAAGAAAUAAUAAAUCAGGAUCAAAGGAAAAAAAAAACAGAGGAAAACAUGAAAUAUCUUAUUGAAAAAAAAAACAGACCUAGAAAAUAGAUGUAGGAAAGACAAUUUGGGAAUUGUUGGACUACCUGAAAGCCAUGAUCAAGAAAAAACAUUGAACAUCACACUACAAGAAAUUAUCAAAGAAAACUGCCCAGAGAUCCUUGAACAAGAAUAUAAAAUUGAAAUUGAAAGAAUUCAAAGAUCACCUUCAGAAAGAAAUCUUCAAAUAACAACUUCCAGAUAUGUAAUAGCUAAUUUUUUCAAGCAGUCAAAAAGAAACUAUUCGGGAGGCAGAGUAAAGAUGGAGGCUUAGAAGCAAUAAAAGUCAAUUCUUCUGUGAAAACCCUUCCAUAUCAAUAACAAAGUCCUUCGAGGAGGAUACAAAACCAAAUUCAACAACAGGACAGAGCAGGGGGACCCUCCUCCUUGCUUCAACUUAAAAGCUACAUGGAUUCUCAUGUUUAAGGAAAAUAAAGAAGAAAGGUCCCAGGACUCCUCCCCCACCUUCUGUGCUGAUACUUGGGAAGUUGGUAGGAUCUUGGGGCAAGGGCUCUAGCCCAGAGGGAAUGUCUUGCUACCACAGCUUCUCCAGGCUCAGGGAUCUGACCACAGCUGGCAGAGAGGAUGGCAGCCUGGUUGCAGCUUUUAGCCACCAUUCCUCCAUCUUGGGCCUCGGCCUCUGGAAGUUUUGGCCUUAGGGCACAUUCAGCUCUGCAGAUCAGCUCAAUUGUCUUAACCUAGUCUAUCAAUAGUGCAGAUAAGAAGCCUCCAGAGGGCAGAAAAGCUCAAUUUCCAACACCCUUCCCCUACACACACACCUACUAUGCUGAAACCAGUGGUAAGUAUCUGGCUGACUGGGAUCCCAGAGUGAAGGCUGCAGUCUCAACAGAGUACCUUGGUACCACCACUUGAAGCUCAGGGCUCUGAUCUGGCAGCUGGCCAAAAGGAAGAGAGGAAGAUGAGGUAACUACCUUCAGCCUCUACACCUUCACUUUCACCUUCAGCUUCUGCUAGCAGCUGGGGAAGAUCAGGCCUCAAGGCCCAUUAACACAAUCGGUCAGCUACAUUAGCCUAAUCCAGUUACUUAGCAGAACAGAGAAACCCCUUCAGGGCAGAAAAGUCCAAACUCACAAGUUCAGCAAAUAAACAGCAGAACAAGAAUAUAGACAAUAAUGAGGGGGAAAGAAGGAAAAAUGAGUAUACAACAGAAAAAGAAAAAAAUUACAAUCAAAAGUUUCUAGUCAGAACAAAUGGAACAUAGGAGGACCAAGGAACACAAAGAAAAAACUCAGGACUCCAGUAAAUUGGACAUGGGCUUUGGAAGAACUCUAAACACAAUUCAAUAAAGAAGAGAGGCUGAAGAAAAUUGGGGAAAGAACUUAAAAAGCAAAAUAAGUCAUCUGGAAAGACAGGCACAUGAACUAAAACAAGAAAAUUGUCUCUUGAACGCCAGAAUUGACCAGCUUGAAAAUGAGGCAAAGAAAGUGAAAGAUGGCCUACAAAGAAAAAUAGAUCAAAAUGAAAAAAGCCAGGGAUGAAAUUCAGUCUUUAAAAAUCAGAAUAAACUAGAAUCCAAUAACUUCAGAAAAAGUAAGAGUUUAUAAAACAAAAUCAAAAGAAUGAAAAAACUGAGGAAACCAUAAAGCACCUCAUUGAUAAAACAACCAACCUGGAAAAUAGAUCCAUAAGAGACAAUUUAAGAAUUAUUGAACUACUGGAAAAUCAUGACAAAAGAAAAAGGCUGGAUAUCAUUCUACAGAAAAUUAUCCAGGAAAACUGCUCUAAUAUUCUUGAACCAGAGGGUAAAGUAGAGAUUGAAAGACUCCACAGAUCACCUCCUGCAUUAAAUCCCCAACUCACAACACCCAGGAAUGUUAUAGCCAAGUUCAAGAAUGUUCAGACCAAGGAAAAGAUACUACAAAUUGCUAAAAAGAUAUCAGAUAUCAUGGAGCCACAGUCUGUAUUACACAGGACCUGGCUACAUCCACAUUGAAGGACCAGAAGGCAGGGAAUAUGAUAUUAUGGAAAGUGAGGAAACGGCAUCUACAAUCAAGAAUCAACUAUCAAGCAAAAAUAAUUAUAUUCUUGCUGGGGAAAGUAUGAUUACUUAAUAAAAGACUUUCAAGCAUGCCUGAAGGAAAAAACAGACUUAAACAGAAAAUUUGAUGCCCAAAUACAGAACUCAAAAGAAUAACCAAAAGGCUCUACAGUGAACUGCAAGGCCAUUUUUAAAACUUGUGCUGUUUACAAAGAGAAGUAUACACUUGGCAAUAGAAAACCUUGUGGACUAAUGGAGCUGUCCAUUGGAUGACUGUGUAGUAAACCCAGAUAAAAGAAAAGUCGUGUAACUUCAUACAAUUCCUAAGAGGCCCUCUGACAAUAGGGAAUGAAGAUUCUUGAGCAAAGGAAUGACAUAGUAAGAUCUAUGCCUGAAAAAUCAAUAAAAGGCUUCAGCCCGGUAUAUACCUUGUGGAUCCAGUCAAUGAGCAGAGAUUGGCAGAUGAAAAUGGACCUGGUUCUGUUUAACUCCGGCUAUCCAUCUUCUCUUAGUUUCAAAGGGCAAAGAGAUGUGCUUUUUGAACUGAGCUGACUUCUCCUCUUCUCUCUGCAGUGAAGUCCAGAAUUCCUGCUCAAGGUAGUCGGUGCUGUGCAGCCUGAUUUGUUUGGGCUCAGAGCAAAACCAGUAGUUCCAGCUGGGGUUUGUGGUGAGGACAUAGAUCCCAGUUUUGGGCACUCAGUGGAUCAGGCCUCUCCCUCUCCUGCCCACCCCUAACUCUGACAGGGGCAGCCCCCAGGAUGCUGACUUGAGGGAACCUGGCUGACCCUUGCCAAAGCUCAAGGCCCUGGUCUGGGUUCUAAUGCCAGCUUUGCCCUCUAUCAGCAACACAAAGCUGAUGAAGUCAAUUCCUCUCUUUAGGUCUCCAUUUCCUCAUGUGGAAAAUGUGAAUUGUUUGCACAAAUGCAGUGUAUGCCCCUUCCAGCUCUGACAUUCUGUACUCCAUAGUCUUUUGUAAUUUACUAGCUCAGCCUUACCUACUCAAAUGUGACUAUUGUAAUAAAGUAUUGUGAUUUAGACAUUCUGACCUUUAGGUGUAGCCAGGGCAAAUCUAGUGCAAAGGUUGGAAAACCACCAAUCAAGAUGGCAUUUAUAAAUAUGGAAUUGCCUAGCACAUGCAAAUGUAUGAUGUUCAUUAGUGUAGUUUAUGAAAGAUCCUCUCUGUCCAUUAAGAACAUAAUGAGGGGCAGCUGGGUGGCUCAGUGGAUUGAGAACCAGGCCUAGAGAUGGGAGGUUUUCGGUUCCCAUCUGGCCUCAGACACUUCCUAGCUGUGAGACCCUGGACAAGUCACUUACUCUUCAUUGCCUAGCCCUUACUGCUCUAAUGCCUUGGAACCAAUACAAAGUAUUGAUUCUAAGAUGGGAGGCAGGGUUUUAAAAAAAGAACAAAAUGACUUCCAACCAUCAGUGCUUUGUCCAUCAAAGGCAGUGACAACUCUCCCCAGUGGCAGCCCCAGAGGUCCUGGCAAUUGGAUUUACCCACACAGGGCUCCCAAUGAUUUCAGUGAAGCACAGGAAAUUGCCAAAAGGGACUUACAGAAUCAAAAAAGUGGGUCAGAUCCUGUCAGGUGAGGAAAUGCUCCCUAGAGUGACACUUUGGGAGGGAGAACAGUGGCCAUGAGUCUUGUAGGCACUGAAGUAGCACUGAGCAGAACUGUGGCACUGAUUGACUAAAUAGUGCCCUGGUGGCCUAAGCACAUAUCUUUCUUACCUGUGGUUUUAAAGUACAUGCCUCUCUUCCUAGAACUCAUUUGGCUCCAGGAUUGCAGUGGGCACGGAAGAGGUGAAGGGGACCAUAAUAUUCAUAGGACUAGUAGAAAGUAGAGCUCUUGUUUCUUUGGUAACAAAUGAUAGAAAUUCCCCUUCUAGGGUCAUAAAAAUUAUUAUGAGCUUAAAUGUAGCUCACAUGAACAUAUAAUUUAGGCACUAUCUGCUUAAAAUAAAUUAUCUUAAUAUCUGUCAAGUGGACUUGUAGAGAUAGUAUAGAGGAGUAGCUAGAAUACUGGGUUUGAAUCCAGUCUGAAUCCAGAUAUUAGCUAUUACAGCCAAAAGCAAGUUUCUUGAGAUUACUCUGAAUCUCAAUUCCUGCUUCUCAAAAAUGUAUAUCAUCACAGCAUCUAUCUUCCAGGCAUGUGAUGAGGAUUAAAAUAAGUAAUGUAUAUAAACUAUUCUGCAAACCUGAAAGUGUUCUAUAAGUGUGACCUAUACACACAAAGCAUAUUCUGCAAAGCCAUUUCCUUCAUAAGUAAAUGUAGAUGUGAUAUUUAGUGAAAAUGUUCAUAUGUGAUUUUAAAUGACCUUGAAUUUUUUUAUUGUGAAGAUAUAGUCUGGGAAUAAAAAGACUCUCUGUUCAAAAUCAUAAUCAGUUUCCAUUCAAAACAAAAUGCAGUACAGGUCAGGUAGAACACAAUGAUCAGAGUUGCAAAGAGUCCAACUCAUUUGGGAGUUAUAGUUUCAAAAGUUAAAGGACUGAGAACCCCUAAAUACUAAGGCAAUGGAGUAGCAUCAGAGGUACCUUGCCCCUAACAUUGUGGGACGAUUUCAAUUUAGUUUCUGCUUCUAGAAAUGUCAGGUCAACACUCUUCCCUCCACAUCCUUCUCCCCCACACCAAGAGGAGCUGGUCUCCACUGGGGUAGCCCAACCCCAGGUAGAAUGGCAUGAGGAGUUAUAAAGAACAUUAACCUGCUUUUGGUGGACCACCUACCGGGGCUAAAAGUCUGAAAGGAAAUUGUCAGCCCUGCAUGAGCAGUGCUGAACCUUAACCCAUUGCCCAUCAAGCAGUGAAGAGCACACAGCAAGAAAUAACCAUCUCCACCCAUUUUCAAGAGCCAUUUUUGUCACAUUAGAUGAAAAGCCAAAAGGUGAAUGGGGAAAACUGAAUAUUUUAUAUAUGCCAUAGUAAAUAGCACAAUUUUAUCGACAGAAAGAAAUUGGCAGGAGGUGCCAUGUGGGAAAGGAAGCUUUUAAUACUGCAUAUGCUCCUGUUUUAAUCAAAUUGGAGUUGUCACUUAUGUUUAGGAAUUGUAAAUUUAAGAACUCUAGAUAAUGUUGAUUUGCAUAAAACUUAAGAGCAAAAUUAUAGGAAACAGAAGAUAAAUACUUCUUUUCCUCCUAACCCUAUGCAUUUUACAUGCUAGGAUGGCAUUUUGAUUGAAGAUGUGCUAAGAUCAAUGGUUGAUGGUUACUGUAGGAGAUUAAAAAUUUAAAACAUUCAAUUUCCCAUAGACACAAAGUAUUUGUGAUUUAAAGGGCUUAUAAAUCUAGUCCAUUAUGUUAGGGAACUUCCUCCAAACAAGCCUCCAAAUAUUUUCAAAUAUUGGAAAUGCCUCUCCUGUGUCUGACAAAAUUCUAGAGUACAUUAUUAAAAGGACGACUUUUGAAUAUUUAGAAAGGGAAGCAGUGAUCACUGAAAACCAGCCUGGUUUCAAUAAGACCAGACUGUCAGACUAACACUAUUUUCUGAACAGCUUGGGACAUGUGGUAGAUAUGAAAAAGGGAAAUUUUCAGUAAACACUUAAUCAAAAAGCAUGUAUUAAGCACCAGCUUUGGAAGAGAGAAGUCGGUGGAAAAAUAUGAGUUCAUUUGGGAUAGUUUAAGACAACUAUAAGACAUUCAGUUUAAGUUUUCCAACAAUCAGUUGAAGAUAUGAGGCUGUCACAAAGAAAAUGUACUGAGAAAAAAAUUCAUGACUUUAUAAGUAAAUCUGAAUAUUUAGGGUUCGAAAUGAAAAAUGAGUCCAGGGGACAAUGAGAUUGCUAAAUGUAAUAGUAUGUAUGGAGAAGAGGGCAUACAUAACACAGAGCUUUGGGGAUGUGGUUAGUGGGUGAGACCUAGAUGAUGAUCCAGCAAAGAAGAUAAAGAACAGUAUGAUAGGUUGGAGGACAACAAGGGAAUCAUAGUCACAAAAACCUAGAGAGAAAAGAUUACCAAAGAGAAGAAUAUGUUCAAUAGAAUCAAAGGCUGCAGAGAAAUUAAGGAAGAUGAGGAUUUAGAAACAUCCAUUAGACUUGGCAAAUAAAAGACCACUGCACUGAUAACUUCAGAAAGAGCAAGUAUGAGUACAAUUAGGUGGAUUCACAAUUAGUUGAAAAAUUGGACCCAAAACAGUCAUUAACAGGUCAAUAGUUUUCAAGUAGAGGACCCCAAGAAUCUGCCUUGUGUUAGUAAAUAUUUAAAAUAGACUAAUUUAUUUCAAUAUUUUUCAUUAAUGCCAUAAUGGGUAUGUUAAUUUUGCAAAUAGCAUAAACAUCAGAAAGAUGAUUAAUACAUUAGAUGAUAGAGUUGGAAUCCAAAAUGAGCUCAACAAAUGAACACAAUGGAGUUAAUAGAAGAUCAAAUGAUGUUUAGCUUUUAGUGGAUGAAUAAAAACUUCCUUCUAUGCUAUUGGUAAAUUCCUUGCAGAAAACUUCAAUAUUGAGGAAGGCACCAGAUUAGCUAUCCUUCAUUCUCCAAAUUUCAUACUUACUCAACCCCAUUCAGUUCAGCUCCUUGAGGAUACAGAUUAUCUUUUUUCUUUUAUUUACAUCCCUCAUACUUAAUAUAAUGACUGUCUAGCACACAACAAAUGCUUGUUGACUUGAUUACUACAUGUAAAAAAGUAUUUAUAGGCAACUAGAUGGCCCAGUAGAUAGAGUGCUGGGCCUGGAGUCAGGACUACUCAUCUUCCUGCGUUUAAAUCUGACCUCAGAUAAUAGCUGUGUGACCCUGGGCAAGUCAUGUAAUUCUGUUUGCCUCAGUUUCCUCAUCUGUCAAAUGAGCCUGUGAAAGAGAUGGCAGACAGUUCCAGUAUCUUUACCAGUAAAACACCAAAUGGGGUAAUAGUCAGAUGUGACUAAAAAAUGAAUAGAACAACUUUCUGACUCCAGUAUCCACUUUGCUGUCUAACUGCCAAAGAGUCAACCAAAGCCACUACUACUACCUUCAACUGCCUUAAGAUACAGUGAGUUCCCAGAAUAAGGGAAAUGUUCAUUCCAUUAUCUUUCCUGUCUAGGAACAGCAAGUACCACAUUUUAAGAAAUAUUUAGACAACCAUAAAUAUGUUCAGAAGAAGGUAACCAAGAUGGAGAAAAGAAUGGUGAUCACACCAUGUGAGGAUAGGUUGAAAAACCCAAGAAUAUUUAGGUCAAAGAUUAUCAGAGGCACAUGAUAGUUGUUGUCAAGUAUUUAGAGGGAUGUCACAUGGAAGGAUUAGGUUUCUUUUGCUUGGCCACAGAAGGGUAGCACUUUCAAUAAUAUUAAGUUGUAAAAAGGCAGAUUUGGAACUGAUGUCCAAAAACUUCCUAAUAAUUAAGACUAUCUUAAAGUAGUGUGGCCCAGAGAAGACACUUAUAUCCCCUUAGCGGAAGUUAAAGGACACGGAGAAAUGUUAUAGGUAGUAUUGUUUGUCAGGUAUGAGUUUAGAUGACAUCCUGUGGUCUCAUCAAACUCAGAUCCUAUGAUUCUGUGAUAUGUGGGGUGGGGGGAAUCAAAGAACAAAGAGAUUCCUUAAACUAGACCACCAAAGUCAAAACCUCUUGCCUUGACUUAAACCAUGCAUACAGGGUGUAUGGAGGGGGGGAGUGGAAGUAUUUUUUCCACACUGGCUGUCUGCAGAAAUUCAUCCCAGCAGAUAAUUGUCCACUCUCCUCUUGACUUUCUGUUUAGACACCAGCCUUUAAGGCACUGAUUGAAGACCUAGCUAUAUAAUGAACUGAGUAUGGAACCUAGAAAUCAUUAAAAUUAUAGCUUUCCUUUUUAUUUCAGGUUUCUGAACAUUUCAGAUCCCUUCCUUCCACUCUGAUGGGCUGCUUCAAAUGGUUGAAGUCAAAUCAAUGGACUCAUCCAAAAGGAGUAUUUAUGCACCAAUCAAGUGAUUUAAAGACUUAGCACCAUUAGGCAAAUAUUUGUGCUAGUCAUUUUUUACUCUUUAAUAAAGUAUUGAAACUGGACCAAAAGGAAGGAUCCUAAUAGGUAAAUGCUAAACUCAUCCAAGCUGUAAUCAAACUUACCUUCAUAUUGUGUCAGCCACAUUGUUCUUAACAAGAACAACAUUAAUGGAGGCAUCACAAAGGUAGUAUAAAGAGGCAGCUGAAUUUGUUUUAAUUAACUUCAAUUGCUUACAUAUCAUAAAUUACAAAGCUGACUUGCAGGCCAAUUAUAUGGUAUUUACCUCUAUUGCCCAAAACUUCCAAGUUAUAUCUCUAAAUACCACUCAAGCCAGUUGUAGAAAUCAACUUGCUAAUAGAUGUUUUGUUUUUGUUUCUUCUUUAUCAUUUGCUACUGUAGCUAUCUUGCCAGGUUCAUUUCAUCUCUAAUAUUCUAUGAUUCUCUCACUAAAAUAAUUAAUUCAACCAGUGUUUCAUUAUGUAGAAAAAGUCUCUAUUUUAAAUCUUUUCUGUGAGUCAUUCAUUUAGUGAGUCCGAUCAGCGACUGCUAUAUGUAUAGUUCUUCUUGCCCCCUUCCUACUCCACCUCCCCUAAAAACAUAUAGAUAUCUGAAAUUGCAGAGUGAGACUGUAGGAUGCAGAAGUAAACUUUGUGGUAGUAGACUACCACAAUCCCUGGCAACGAGUACCAGACUUGAAGUCAAGAGGACCUGGGUUCAAAUCCUGAUUUGGGCACCAUUAUCUGUGUGACUCUGGGCAAGUCAUUUAACUUUCUGGAGCCUUAGUUUCCUAAAAUAGAGAAAAUAGCACCUAAUUUAGGAUUGCUAAGAGGCUCAAAUAAGCUACUGCAUGUAAAGUAUUUUGUAUACCUAAAAGCACUAUAUAAUUGUGAAUUGUUAUUGUCAUCAUCAUGGCUAUCGUGUUUUAGCACCUUAGGCACAUGUAUCCUUCUGGUAAUAAGAAAAUUAACAUUUUUCAUAGAAUUAAAUGACUAUGAAUAAAUAGACAAAAGUUGGAUAAUUAUUGGGAAGAGAAAAUUUAAAAGUCAUUUCUUUAAUUAGGCCUCUAAUGAACAACUCUCAAUGUUGCCUAGGUCCCCUUCACUGCCUCUCUUGUUUCAAAUGCUGGGCUUAUUCAGUUCAAUGGCCCUGAACUCAGCACAUGGAUCAUAAUUUACAGCACAGGUUCUUAAUACCUAGGGACUGUUCAGUGUAUUGUUACAUUUUGUCUGAAAAUAUAACACAGAAACUGUUAGGUUUUUUCUGUAGCAGGGCAAUGACAGGAUGUGAAUGAAGAGUCUCAGUUACUUGACAGAAAUUAAUUGCUUUUAAUUUUUUAUCUCUGACAACUAAUAAAAGAACUUGGUUGCCAAAACUGCCCCCUACUGGCAUGGCGUUUAAGAACCCAGAGUCAUCUGCAUGCAGUAGUAGGUUAUCAGAGAAAGAUGUACAUGGAAGUUACUUUGUUAUUAUCAUAUUUAUUCCAUUAUUAUUUUAUUUAAUUAUUUGGCAUUAAAUUAGCCUGAAUAACAAUAAAUAUGUAUUAAGAUUUUUAUUAUGUAUAAGGUCCUAUGGUUCUUGCCCUCUAGGUGUUGAAGACUGAGUUGGGUAAAUAGGACAAAGAUAUAAAGAUAUGAAUAAAUGCCAAAUAACUAAUGUAUGGGCUAAAUAAGUAGAAUAGGAAGUCAAUGGUAAAGAAACUUUGCUUAUAUUGAGGGCACUUAGAGCAAUAACAUUAGAAGUGGAUGAGAUUUGACCUGGAAUUUGAAAUUAAAUUGACUUUCAUUCAACAAGCAUUUAUUAAACUCCACUGCUAUACCCAACAGUAUACUAGGCCCUGGAGCUACAGCGAUGAAAGUAGAACAGGUUCUGCCUUCAUGUUGUUUGAGGGAGGGUAACAUAGAUGGAUCAUAGAUUUUGAACUGGAAGGAAUCUUAGCAUUCAUUUAUUCAAAAUCUAUCAUUUCACAGAUGAGAAAACUGAGGCUCAGAGAAGUUAAGGAAUUUAUCCAAGAUCAAGCAGGUAGUGAAAGAUUAGGAAUUCAAAGGCAGAGUCUCUCACUCCAAAUCCAGUACUCUUUCCAAAGUAGAAAAGUAGGUACAAAAACAGACACAUUAAUAUAUUUCAUUGGAUGAAGUAGUGAAACAUUCACAUAUUCAAAAUUCCUUUGCAGGAUUAGAUCCACUCACUAAGGAAAAACAACCACCACUACCCAGAGUAAUAGGAAAGUAAAUCUUUGGUCCAAAUUUUCUGAUAUAAACUUAAUAGUUUUGAAAACUUCCAAGAGUACCUGCUACUUAGAAUAGAAUUCUAAAAUUGUUAGUUCAGAAGCUCCACAGUGUUUGGCAGUAGCAUAAAAGUGCCCUUCUAACAGGUCAAGAGAUGGUAAUUGGGCAUUUAGAGUAUAAAGCAGAAAUGGGCUUGCAAAGGCAAUAAAGGUGUAGGGAGAAACAAACUGGGAGUGACUUUGGAAAGUAACUAUCUGAGCAAUGCAAAUCAUUGAACAAUGGAGCCACUUCUCUCCAAAUAAGAUAAAACUUAAGUUCAUUGCUAAUAAUAGCUUGCAUUUCAUAUGGUGCUUUAGGAUGACAAAGUACUUUAGAAAUAGUUCAGUCAAUCUUCUGGACUAUCUAGAAAGGCAGGCUGCACAAGAUUUUGUUGUUGUAUGGUUUUUAUAUGGAUCGCAACCCUACACAUAGUGGAUAAAGGGCUAUCCUCAGAAUUACUCAAGUCUUAUAUUCAUAUGUGCUAGCUGUGCAACACUAGGGAAGACAUCUCUGUGCAACUCUCAAAGAAGGCACCUUGUAACUCAAGAUACAGCUAGCAAAUUUAGCAUAAAUGUGCCCCCAAACAAUUAGUUCAUGAGAGGUUGCCUUGUCAGUGCUCACUUGUUUAGGGGAGGCCAGUACAGCCACUCAGAGAACAGUUUACCUGGCAUGAGACCAUGGCUAUUUGGAAGCUUCCAAUUUGGCAGAGGUGUUCUUACUAAGUAGAUACUGAGAUUAAUUGCUUCUUUACUGAGGAAGACUACAAAGCUUGUCAGAAUCUUAUAAAUUUCAGUAUCCUGGGGCAUUUAUGGUUCAGCUGAUUUAUAUGGAAAGAGGAAUGCUCAACAGUAGAUGUUCCUUAUGGCAAUGAAAUUGCAUGGAAAGCAUUAGGGCCUCAUUUUAACCUAUGAAUAAACUGAGGCUUAAAGAAGUUAAGGGACUUGGCCUACAUCAUAGCUGCUACAUGGCAGAGUUAAUUAAGCCUUGAAUCCAGGAGUCAAGAUUCCAAAGUCCCUGUCCUCCCAGUCUAAGACACUGCCACAAACAGUGCCUGAUACAGCCCAUUAUGACUAAAAUUCAGCACACAGUAGGAGUUUGGCUAGUAUAUAUUUUGCCUAUGAAGCUACAGUCUUCAAAUGGUUUAUGUUUCCACACAGAUUCUGCUUUGGAUUUCUGAAAGAACAUUUUUAGAUGAUUUAAUUGAUAGUUUCUGUUGUUACAUUUUUCUUUUCCAAUGAGCUAUCCCUCCUCCUCCUCCUCCUCCUCCUCUCUCUCUCUCAUAUCAGAAGAAAAGAGGAGAAAAUUAAAAGGCAGACAUAGAAAAAGGAAUGUUCUUAAUAUUUUAUUUUUCCCAAUUAUAUGUAAAAACAAUUAACAUUUGCUUUUUAAAAAUUUUGAGUAUUGGAUUCUUUCCCUCUCUCCACCACUGAGAUGGUAAGCAAUCUAAUAUAGAUUUUAAGUGAGAAAAUAUUUUUUGAUAUGAAUCCUUUUGUAGAAGGAAAUUCUAACCAAAAAAAUUAAGAAAGUGAAAAAAGUUUCCUUUGGUGUGUAUUCAGAUUUCACCAGUUCUUUCUCUGGAAGAGGUCGACAUUUUUUUAUCAUGAGUCCUUUGAGAUUG